rnacentral:lncRNA from 1 species
CUGUUUCAUUUGGAGAGGCAUGUGUUAGAAAAUUGCGUACGGUAAAAACGCAGCGGAAAAAGAAAUCAAACAAAUUUGAUUUUAGAAAACUCUCGAGAUCCAAUCUCAAAAACCACGCGCGCAAUUAGGAUCCCUCAUGUUUUAAGAUUAAAGAAGAAAAACAAGAUCGAAUCUUUACCUUUUUCGUUGAUAGAUCUUCAACUCAAUUUGAUGAUCGUGGAAUCGGGUUCUCUUGAAGCCGCACACGCGUCCGGCCUCUAUAGGUAUCCACACGAGGUUCUUGAUUUGAUCGAUGUCCUCACCGGGGUGCUAGCUCCCUUGCAAAAGGACGUCUAUUUGCUAGAAGAUGGAAGAGAGGAGAGAGGAUAGAUGACGGCUAGGGUUUUCUAAAAACUCCCGUAUAUUAUAUAUAGGAAUAUAAUCCUAUUCUUAAUAAUAUAAUGACAAUUAAGGAUAAAUAUAAAUCUAGAUUUAAAUUUAUCUUUUCCUUAAUUGGUUAGAUCNNNNNNNNNNNNNNNNNNNNNNNNNNNNNNNNNNNNNNNNNNNNNNNNNNNNNNNNNNNNNNNNNGAUCAAUUCCUAAUUUGAUUCGACUUUAAUUUUUAAUUAAUUUGAUCUUAUCAAAUUAAUAAUGCAAGAUUUGCACAUAAGUCCUCUUAUAACUUACUAACUAUUAGUAAGUCCUCUUGUACAUUUACAACCUUAAUACCACUAACUUGUAAUAAUAGCAAAUUAUUCAAUUAUCAUUAUAUUGAAAUUAGGUCCUCCGGGAUUCAAUAAUCGCGAUCUAGCUAUAGCGGGAUCAAUCACAACUCUCUAUGUGUGGUGACCCUAUAGUUCUAUUCUAUCUGGUAGUGAGUAUAUUUUGAUCACUAUCACAAUAUUCACUGAACUCCUUUCAAUGGAAUUAGAACAUUUCCAACUCAGCCCAAUGAGAAUUAUGCGACAUUCUAGAUAAAUUCUCAUGAGUCUCACAAGUCACGUGACGCCUAGGCAGCUGUCAGUGGCAUUCAGUAGAAUGGAAUAAUGAACCUCCUUGGUGCGUUACCGUGUGAUUACAAUCCUUCUAUCAUGAGUCCGACUAGACGGAGGUCUUUAUGGAAUAACUCGUCAUAACGCCACAUCGUCGUGUCAUAUGUUAAAUUUAUUCGACGUCGAGUUUCUAAUAUCGGAAACCCUUCUUCCGCUAUUUAUUCCUGCCCUGGCCAGAUCUUCUAAACUCGGUCCUAUAAAAUCAAUGCGAUAACCCCUAUCUACAAGGGAGAUAGAUUCCAUCAAUCGUGCCGCGCACACUAUUCCACAGCAUGAACCUACUGCAGCAACAUGCCCCGCUAAGGACCGAAUGGACUAAGGGACCAAGUGAUGUACAGUCAACACUACAGUAACCCAUGUGAAUAGCGAGGCACGCAGGUCAAGGACCAGUCACACUACUUGGCAACCAAUUGAGUAAGUACAAUUGCAAGGAGUGAGCAGACAUCCAAGUUACUUUGCGUGGUCACGCUCGGUACCCUUGUUCUCUAACAACCACCUGCAUAUUCGCUUCAGUGUCCCCACACUGUCGACUCGAGACUCGUCUACCCAAAAGGGAAGCGACCUAUGCACCAAUCUCACUGGAUCAAUCACCGUCCCCGUGAUGAUCCAUUGAUCGAGAGCAUUUAGGAAUUAAUCACCAAUGACACAUGUCUCAAAUUCUCAACACUUGAAAAUAUAUGUCAUCAUCUUAUUAAUUCCUUGGACGAUUCAUGGACACAUACACAACAUGAAUGGAAAUAAAAAUUCAAAGUUAUUCAUAAUAUUUUAAAAUCAAAUACAAAAUUAUGUCCUAGAAAGAAUACAUGUGUCGGCCUUGUUGGCUUCUAGGGCAUACAUCUAACAGCAUGCACUAUUGUUGUCUAGGUGAGAUGAGAAAGCCUCUUUGAGUUUUUACUCUUCAUAUAAGAAGUGCACUAUUAUUGUUUAGGUGAGAUGAGAAAGCCUCUUUGAGUUUUUACUCUUCAUAUAAGAAGGGUGUUUGGUGUUGAAUGUAUAUAAUAUUAAAAACAUCGUUCUCUAGCAACUUAUUUUAUUAAAGAAAAAUGGUUGCUUUGUAUAUUUAACAUAGUAUCAAAGCAACAUUUUUUGAGUUAGAGUCUCGCUAAAUUUCCAUCACAAUUGAUUUUCUCCCAUUUAAUUCAAACCCACAAAUACCGUCCUCUACCAGCUUAACAAUUGGUUUUUUGGAGAAGCGUGAUUUUUUGCUUUUUUUCACGGUUUUUAUGUUCAAAAUUUUAAAAAUUCAAAUAAUGCAAAUAUUAUUUUUCUAUAAAAUAUGAAAAAGCAACAAAAAAAACUAUUUUUUCCAUAAAGCAAGCAGGGAGAAAAUAUUUAUUCAGCUAGAAAAUUGUCUUCUAUAAACCAAACACCUCCUAAACUAUAUAUAUAUAUAUAUAUAUAUAUAUAUAUAUAUAUAUAUAUAUAUAUAUAUAUAUAUNNNNNNNNNNNNNNNNNNNNNNNNNNNNNNNNNNNNNNNNNNNNNNNNNNNNNNNNNNNNNNNNNNNNNNNNNNNNNNNNNNNNNNNNNNNNNNNNNNNNNNNNNNNNNNNNNNNNNNNNNNNNNNNNNNNNNNNNNNNNNNNNNNNNNNNNNNNNNNNNNNNNNNNNNNNNNNNNNNNNNNNNNNNNNNNNNNNNNNNNNNNNNNNNNNNNNNNNNNNNNNNNNNNNNNNNNNNNNNNNNNNNNNNNNNNNNNNNNNNNNNNNNNNNNNNNNNNNNNNNNNNNNNNNNNNNNNNNNNNNNNNNNNNNNNNNNNNNNNNNNNNNNNNNNNNNNNNNNNNNNNNNNNNNNNNNNNNNNNNNNNNNNNNNNNNNNNNNNNNNNNNNNNNNNNNNNNNNNNNNNNNNNNNNNNNNNNNNNNNNNNNNNNNNNNNNNNNNNNNNNNNNNNNNNNNNNNNNNNNNNNNNNNNNNNNNNNNNNNNNNNNNNNNNNNNNNNNNNNNNNNNNNNNNNNNNNNNNNNNNNNNNNNNNNNNNNNNNNNNNNNNNNNNNNNNNNNNNNNNNNNNNNNNNNNNNNNNNNNNNNNNNNNNNNNNNNNNNNNNNNNNNNNNNNNNNNNNNNNNNNNNNNNNNNNNNNNNNNNNNNNNNNNNNNNNNNNNNNNNNNNNNNNNNNNNNNNNNNNNNNNNNNNNNNNNNNNNNNNNNNNNNNNNNNNNNNNNNNNNNNNNNNNNNNNNNNNNNNNNNNNNNNNNNNNNNNNNNNNNNNNNNNNNNNNNNNNNNNNNNNNNNNNNNNNNNNNNNNNNNNNNNNNNNNNNNNNNNNNNNNNNNNNNNNNNNNNNNNNNNNNNNNNNNNNNNNNNNNNNNNNNNNNNNNNNNNNNNNNNNNNNNNNNNNNNNNNNNNNNNNNNNNNNNNNNNNNNNNNNNNNNNNNNNNNNNNNNNNNNNNNNNNNNNNNNNNNNNNNNNNNNNNNNNNNNNNNNNNNNNNNNNNNNNNNNNNNNNNNNNNNNNNNNNNNNNNNNNNNNNNNNNNNNNNNNNNNNNNNNNNNNNNNNNNNNNNNNNNNNNNNNNNNNNNNNNNNNNNNNNNNNNNNNNNNNNNNNNNNNNNNNNNNNNNNNNNNNNNNNNNNNNNNNNNNNNNNNNNNNNNNNNNNNNNNNNNNNNNNNNNNNNNNNNNNNNNNNNNNNNNNNNNNNNNNNNNNNNNNNNNNNNNNNNNNNNNNNNNNNNNNNNNNNNNNNNNNNNNNNNNNNNNNNNNNNNNNNNNNNNNNNNNNNNNNNNNNNNNNNNNNNNNNNNNNNNNNNNNNNNNNNNNNUUGUCCUAUCAAGUCGUUUUGAAUGAUCGGAACUUCAAAUUGAUAAUCGGCACCGUUGAAAUUGAUCUACACAAUUAGAAAUGUUUAGAAACCAAAUUUUGUAAUAUUUAAAAAUUAUUAUCAAGUUCAUCUUAAGAGUUAAAAAAUGAAUGGUCAUAAAUGAAUAAUCUCCUUAAAAUAGUGGUUAGACUUUCUCAAUUCAUAAUCAGAAUUAUCAAACAUUAUUUAAAUAGUAUAAAAAAUGUUUUAUCAAAAAUUUAAGCAAUUUGGGUUGCUCUACACCGUUAAACAAGCAAAUGGCUCAUAUAGGCCGUCAAAAAUUGUCGAUUUUACGACACUUUGAUCACAAUGUAAAUAAUUUUUAAAAUUUAUGAAAUUUCGUUUCUAGAUAUUUCAAAUACUCUAGAUCAACUUCAAUGGCUCCGAUCAUCGAUUCGGAAUCUCUAUCAUCAAAAACCAUUUGAUAGGACAAGUGCUACUAUUCUAUAUCUAUAAUCUAUAAACCUAAAUGAAAGCACAAUAUUUCUUGUCACGUGGCAAGCCACCCUUCAUCCCUUCAUCCUCAUAAGUAAAUAAAUAAAUAAAUAAAACUACUCCCUCUAUCUAAAUAUCAAAUUAACAAAAUAACGCACCUGGUAUUGAUUUUAUUGCUAAUCAAUGUAGAUUCAUUGAACCACUAAGUAAUAGUGACAUUAAUCCCCCAAAAAAAUGCUUUGUAUUUUCUUUACUCUUUGACUUUUACAUUAUUAAACCAACCCUUUGCCUUUCCUCUAUAUAUAACGUCUAAUUAAUGCGUUCAUCCAAUUUAAUCCUAUCUAAACCGUAAACUUAGAAAUCCAUCCAAAAGGUCCAACCCUCCACCCAUUUUAAUCCUAAUAUUAUCGUAAACCAUAAAAGCUUAUGCAAAAGCUCUAUUCUCUCUUAUGCAUGUCAUGAAAAUGAAAGCCUAUUUUUUUUCUUAUAAUAAAUUACAACCUUCUUCAUUUAGCAAGAGGUGUGAAAAUCCAUUUAUUUUUUUUUUUAAAUUUCUAAUUUUGAUAUAUUAUCCUCUUCUCAUUUUGCAUGAGAUGUGGGAGAUGCGUCAGAUCAUAACGGUGGCAGAGGCGGUAAAUGUCAUGGCAGUGGAGACCAAGAUGGCUGCGGAAGAAAGCACGGGCAAUGACAGUGGAGAUCGAGGCGGCAGUGAAAUCAGUGGCAAGCCUCGCCCUCUUAGAGACCAACAUUAAGUGAGAGUUUCUCUAUUUUUUAUUUUUUUCUCUCUUCUUAUUUUCUACUUUUUUUAAUCUAAUUUUAAUCUAUUUUACAGUAUUUUUUGUAAUUAUUUGAUAGUUUCUAUUUAAGAUGAGUUCGAUUGAAUUAAAAAUCUAAUAUUUCUAUAAUACCUGCCCGUCGCAUCGCGCGGGUAACUAUACUAGUAUAUAUAUAAAGUGGGGAAUCUUGGAGAUUUGAAGAUAAAUAAACCCUGAGAUAAUAAACAGGGCAUGUACUAUAGUAUCUAGGAGGGCUUUAUGGAAUAUGGGACCUACUGCCAUUGCUAUAAAUGAAAAAGAAACAGGGGAAAAGAUUUAACUUGAAAAAAAAAUGGAUUGUUUUUUUGUGGAAUUUGAAGGACAAGAGCAAAAGUUAACUGUACAUUAGGCAAUAAAUACAUAGUGUACAUAGGUGGCAAGUACUAUAGGUUGCUUAAUUAUUUUUGACAGGUUAAAACAAACUCACGGGUGGUAUAUAUUUUCCAUUUAAUUGUGUUACAAUGAAUAUGAUUUUUCACAUCCCAUUUAUGAAUCUCAAAUGUUAUUUAUUGAGGCAUUUCACUCCAAAUAUAGUUGCAGGUACGGAUGCAAAUGAGCCGAAUCCAGGAGUCUCCCAUCUUUCUCCCUUUUUUUUUUGUGGGUCGGGAUGGAUUCAGGACUGUUAUUUUUUUUUUUCUAUUUUUCGAGACAAAAACAAAUGCUUUGCAAAUUUUUAACUUAUGGAGAUGAUUUUUUUUUCCUCAUAUCUGGUCCUUAGGAUGAAUCGCGGCAGAAUCUCCAUCGGCCUGGAUCCAUUUGCAUCCCUCCUUGUAGAACUUAAAUGUAUCUUUUGAAAAUUUAUAAUACCAUAUAUUAAAAAAAAAGUUGAAAAUCAUAUCACUUUAUUUCUGAUUUACAAUGCAAAAUUAGACCUAAUAUUUCAACUAAAGUAAUUAACAAAUGGGGGUGGCACCGACCGUCCCUAGCGCAAGUGGCAAAGGACUUGGUGGUUGGUAUCCGAGAUCCCAUGUUUGAAUCCUAGCUGAUUCACAUUUCUAACUAAGUUUAUUUCUAAAUGAAAUAAACGAAGCGGAUAGCAUGCUGCCUAUCUCUCUCAAAAAAACAAAUGGGGGUGGCGUUUUGAACUGCUUCAAUCUCCAGCAGAAACUUUAAAGAGCUUUAAAGUGCUUUUAGAAGAUAAAAGGGAAAGCAAAAAUCUAAAAAUAACUUCAUUUAUUUAUCUUGAUGAGAGAAAGUUAUUCUAUAACUUAUAUAUAUUAUAUAUCUGGGUGAAAUAAGCCCAAAAACAUAAAGCUAUGAUUAAAAUUGCUUCUUUAAAGUUUAAACAACUCUACUUUAGAAAACACUUUGGGGCUAAUACAAGCAGGCCCUUAAUUAAGCUGCAACACAUUGAUAAAAAAGUUUAUUACAUUUACUUAGAAAGGAUUAGCAAGCAAAAAUUGAGACAAAAAAAAAAAAAAAACCCAAAAAAGAACCAAAGUAUAUGUCAUAGAAUCCAAUGCAUGGUACAACAGAAGCAUAUGAUGUGGGAAUCUCUCUUAGUAUUUUGGAAUGAUUGGUGGUGGGGGAAUGUUUGAGGACUUUGAAGCAUCUUUUUUUGGUUUUCACAGAGGAAAAGGGGGGAAUGUUUCAAGUUGUUUAAAGCAUUAUGCACAGAUGUGGCAUGAGAAAGAAAAAACNAGUCCGGCUAUGGUGCUUGUAAAAGCACGAAACACUUAGUGCUUGUAAAUUUUUUACCAUUAGAUUUAUGCCUUUGAUCAUUUUCAACCGUUAGAUUAUACUAUUCAACCAACCACCACUCAACCCUAGGGAGCCAACGUCAUCCUAACUGCACAUUUUUUAAUUCAAUGGCUAAAAAUCUACAAGCACCAACAACUUGGUACUUUUAAAAGAAUAGGAGCUCAAUUCUAUAUAUAUAUAUAUAUAUAUAAAGUGGGGAAUCUUGGAGAUUUGAAGAUAAAUAAACCCUGAGAUAAUAAACAGGGCAUGUACUAUAGUAUCUAGGAGGGCUUUAUGGAAUAUGGGACCUACUGCCAUUGCUAUAAAUGAAAAAGAAAAAGGGGAAAAGAUUUAACUUGAAAAAAAAAAUGGAUUGUUUUUUUGUGGAAUUUGAAGGACAAGAGCAAAAGUUAACUGUACAUUAGGCAAUAAAUACAUAGUGUACAUAGGUGGCAAGUACUAUAGGUUGCUUAAUUAUUUUUGACAGGUUAAAACAAACUCACGGGUGGUAUAUAUUUUCCAUUUAAUUGUGUUACAAUGAAUAUGAUUUUGCACAUCCCAUUUAUGAAUCUCAAAUGUUAUUUAUUGAGGCAUUUCACUCCAAAUAUAGUUGCAGGUACGGAUGCAAAUGAGCCGAAUCCAGGGGUCAAAGGAGUCUCCCACCUUUCUCCCUAUUUUUUUUGUGGGUCGGGAUGGAUUCAAGACUGUUAUUUUUUUUUUCUAUUUUUCGAGACAAAAACAAAUGCUUUGCAAAUUUUUAACUGAUGGAGAUGAUUUUUUUUUCCUCAUAUCUGGUCCUUAGGAUGAAUCGCGGCAGAAUCUCCAUCGGCCCGGAUCCAUUUGCAUCUCUCCUUGGAGAACUUAAAUGUAUCUUUUGAAAAUUUAUAAUACCAUAUAUUAAAAAAAAAGUUGAAAAUCAUAUCACUUUAUUUUUGAUUUACAAUGCAAAAUUAGACCUAAUAUUUCAACUUAAGUAAUUAACAAAUGGGGGUGGCACCGACCGUCCUUAGCGCAAGUGGGAAAGGACUUGGUGAUUGGUAUCCGAGAUCCCAUGUUCGAAUCCUAACUGAUUCAUAUUUCUAGCUAAUUUUGUUUUCUAAAUGAAAUAAAUGAAGCGGGUAGCAUACUACUAUCUCUCUCAAAAAAACAAAUGGGGGUGGCGUUUUGAACUGCUUCAAUCUCCAGCAGAAACAUUGGUUAUGUUAGAGGUUCUUAUGAUAGAGAAGCUUUAAAGAGCUUUGAGAAGAUAAAAAGGAAAGCAAAAAAUAUUUCUAAAAAUAACUUCAUUUAUUUAUCUUGAUGAGAGAAAGUUAUUCUAUAACUUAUAUAUAUUAUAUAUCUGGGUGAAAUAAGCCCAAAAACAUAAAGCUAGCUAUGAUUAAAAUUGCUUCUUUAAAGUUUAAACAACUCUACUUUAGAAAACACUUUGGGGCUAAUACAAGCAGGCCCUUAAUUAAGCUGCAACACAUUGAUAAAAAAGUUUAUUACAUUUACUUAGAAAGGAUUAGCAAGCAAAAAUUGAGACAAAAAAAAAAAAAAAACCCAAAAAAGAACCAAAGUAUAUGUCAUAGAAUCCAAUGCAUGGUACAACAGAAGCAUAUGAUGUGGGAAUCUCUCUGAGUAUUUUGGAAUGAUUGGUGGUGGGGGAAUGUUUGAGGACUUUGAAACAUCUUUUUUUGGUUUUCACAGAGGAAAAGGGGGGAAUGUUUCAAGUUGUUUAAAGCAUUAUGCACAGAUGUGGCAUGAGAAAGAAAAAAAAAACAAAAAAAAGGAAAAGAGUAAGGUGCAUGGUGGUCAAAAAAGUUUACACUGCAUUUGCUUUGAGGCAAUUAAGCUGCUUUUUCAUAAUGUACUUCUUUGCAGCAGCUGCAGGAGAUUUAAGCCAACAAAAGAACAUCAUUUCAUGCAAUGAGUUUCCAAAAUCCCCCAACAUAGUGGGCCCAGAAAAGUUCCCCCAAAAAAGAACAUAAAAAAGAAAUACUAGAGCAUAUGUUUCCACCAAUAUUACACCUCAUGCAAUCACCAAUCUCACCAAAACAACAACUUGAGGAGGGGGGAAAGAGAAAAUGACCUCCCUACUCCCUUCACACAACUUGGUCUAGUUUCUACUCUAACCAUCAGUCCAUGCAGCAAAAACUGGCAUUUGAAUCCAAGAACUCACUGAAUUUUGAGAGAUAAACUUGUUUGGAGUCUUAGAAUAAAACCCAGUGAAACCAGCUUUCUCAGGGCUCCCCUCUCUAGAGCAACUCAAACUUGUCGCCAAAGAAGACGAAUUCGAGACAUGGGUGCUCGCCAGUUUCCCGCUGUCGUCGAUCUCGUGCCUCGAGUUCUCGAUCUCCACGUCGACCAGCCCGUUAAGAGGCGAAGCGAAAAUCGCCGCUGCUUCCCCGAUCGGCUUCUGCUCGCCAGUUUCGGAGGAUCUCGCUGCUGCUGCUGCUGCCGCCGCCUCUUGUUGGGCUGAUUGGUAGAGAACCAUCUUCCAAUCGGAAGCGCACUGGUCAUUUUCGUCGGUUAGAUUCAGAUUCGAGACUUCGUUGCAUGAUUCGAUCGCUUUGGCCUUGCGGGCAAGCUCUCCCGGGAGCAGCGUAUUGCUGGCCAUGAUCCUCUCCACGUCGUAUCGCGUUAUGUCGAAGUUGGUAACCGCAUUCGCCCCUCGGAAUUUUAUCGCGGCUAUGUCGUAGGCCUCCGCCGCUUCCUCUUGAGUACCUGUAAAUUGUCCUCCUAAAGUUUUAGGCUAACUAAUUCUACUCUAGUUAACCCCUACAAAUUGUAUUCAAUAUUUCUUCCGAUUACAAACGAACAUGUGAAAUGAAAAAGCUAAAUGUGUCGCACUCGAAAAGGCUUAAUAAUGGUUUAUUUUUUCAUAUUAAUUGUAGAUUAUUAGAAUAUUAGGCUUCUUAUUAGACUGAUAUAUAAACAAAGAACUCUAGUAAGUAGGAACUCGAUGAACUUACUGAACGUUCCGAGGUAAAGAUCUUUGUUUCCGGCUACUCUACCGAUUCGCGCUUGCCAUCGUCCGUGCUGAUGGUGCCUGAAAAAGUAAUAACACAAAAGAUUAUGCAAUGUUAAUUGCAAUCCUCAACAGAGAAAGGGUUUUUUUUUCCCCUUUUUUUUACGUGGUGUGUAUGUAGAAAGACCUUGUCACUCCUCGGUACAUCGAAGCGCCGCGAGAAAAUCCGCUGCUUUUCCUGUUAAUUGGUGUAGAAAAUUAAAGCAAUGCUUUUUGUUUUAAGUUGAGAAACAAAUAUAUGAAAUAUUGAAAUGGCAUGGAAAUAGUAUUUGCCUUCGUAAAUGCGCGACGUAUUCUUGCCUACUCAUGUUUUUCAUCUCCUCUAGCUCUUCUUGGUAACUCUCCAGCUUUUUAAUACAAACUAAGAUAUUAGGCCACUAUUUAACAGAUAAUGAACUACAACUCUGAUUAAACGAGUUCAAAUGAUCGAACCAUACAGGGAAAUUGAUGUGAGUCGAAAGUCCCCAGUACUUGAGCGCGGCUAAGUCGUAAGCUCUCGCGGCUUUCUCUUCCAUGUCAUAGCCACCUAAGGACAUAAGCAAAGGAAAUUCUUAAUAAAAAGGAUAAAAAGAAAAAUAUAUAUAUUUCCAAUGUUUGAGUUACUAUAAAGUAGGAAGAACCAUGCUUACCUAAGUAAACUGCAGGACACCAUUGUUUCAAUGAUAUUCCCCAUAGCAAAAAUGUGACAUAAAAAUGACAAAAUUUAAUACAUAAUCAGCAAAUAUGUCAUUAAAGUUCCAAACAAAAAGGACAAAAAAAAUCUUAAAAUGUAAAAAAAAAAAAAGAAAAAGAAAAAAGAGGUCCUGUGCUUAACCUUGUCUUCCUUUCCUUGUUUGGCCUUCUUUCUUGCAGCUGUUGUCCCAGAGAUGGGCUUCAUAUCUUCCAGUCCACCUGUGCCUGAUUCCGAAACCAAAUAUUAUAUUUCAAAAUUCUUUUAUUUUUUAUGUUAAUAUAUAUAUAUAUAUAUAUAUAUAUAUAGAAUUAGGCUGGAAUACUAUUAAUAGUAAAAUGCUUUUUUUGCUAUCAAGUUUUUAACCCUUGGAUGAAAAAUUAUAGGGUCAGGAUGAUAUUAGUCGGUUAGAGUUAAGUGGUUCCCCUAGGGUUGAGUGGUCCCCACUGGGUUAUAGUAUUUAAUCCAAUGGUUAGAAAUAAUGAAAAGAGUUAAUCCAAAGGCUAAAAAACUGGUAGCAACAAUGGGAUUUUGCUACUAAUAGUAGCCCAGUCCAACUCUAUAUAUAUAUAUAUAUAUUCUGGACAUGUUUCCUACUAGAUUGAUCUUUCGUUGUGUAAGGUCGUGGGAAUUAAAUUCCCGCAUUAUAUAAUGGGUUAAAUUUCCCAUCUCUUACCUCACCUAGUGAUCGAUUUAGCUUAUAUCAUACAUACAGCAAGAAAAUAGAGGUAAUUUUUUUUUUUAGUACCAGAUGUCUCAAUCCUUAUUAUUCAGCAUAUAUAACACAUUUUUGUUGUACCCAAUCAGAUUCACAAGCAGCCAAAAGAUUUAAAACAUGUAUAAGAUAUUAGAACUGGGACAGAGAUAUACAAAAUAGAAACUGAACAAGCACAACAUGAAAACAGCAUACAAUUGUGACCAAGUAUAUCACUAGCACUAGAGAGAGAGAGAGAGAGAGAGAGAGAGAGAGAGAGAGAGAUGUAAAUAUAAGUAAAUUAAAUAAAUAAAAUAAAAAAGGCAACAUUAUUUGAUUUACUGACCUGGUGACACCCCUGUAUUGAGAAGUUCUCUGCCCAAAUGUAUCAAUGGACUUCCUGUGAACAGUUUGCUUCUGCCCCAUUUUCCCACCCCCCCUCUUUUUGCUUGCACCAUCCAAGCCCAUGAUGCAUUGAUCAUUUGUUGCAGCAGCAGCAGCAGUGGAGUUAGUGGUUGUAGCAAGUGGUGCAAUCUCUUGUGGAGCUGUCACACAGCUAGAUUGAGACCCUGGGCUCAUGGACAAGCUCAGUGGCUUCAAGUCCCCAUACACCACUCCUCCCUCAACCAACCCAGUGUUAUUGGUAUUAUGAGCACUACCAUAAUCCAAUGGUGUGUUGUACAUCAACAUGCUCUCUUCUAAUGGUUGGAAAUAGGGGUUGUGUUGCCUGUAAUGCAGCUGGAGGAGGUUCAGAUUCAAAGGGUGGUUCCUAUUGCUCUCACUCUCCAUGUUUUGGUUGUAGUACAUUGUGGUGUUGUCCAAGCUUAAGCCCAUUGCUUCUCCCUCAUUGGUUGGAGUUGGAACACCACCAUUACCACCUCCUCCUCCUCCUCCUCCUCCUCCACCACCACCACAACCUAAGAAGUCCUCUAGCUUGGGGGAUGGAGAUGGCACCAUUCCUUUGAUACAUCAAACCAAAGUAGAAAAGAAGGAAAAAAGUUAAUUAGUUGGUUUUUCUUUUUAAAAAAAAAAAAAAAAAGAAGCUUGAAGCUUGAUGUAUGUGUAUAAAUAUAUACCUUGGUGCUGUGAUCUGUGAAGAGCUUCCAUGAUGCAGAGAGAACCAUCUGAUUUGAGAGGCAUGAUGGGGAGCUGAGAGUAGAGAGCCUCAUUGUUGUUGUUGUCUCCUUCAACUCCAUAGCACAUGGUGGGAGGAGGAGGAGGAGGAGGAGGAGAGAGGAAGAAGCUGCAUGGGAGUGAGGAGGAGGGAGAUGAUGAAGGGGGGCCAUGGAGAUGAUGGUGGUGUUGAUGGUGAUGAUGGGGUGGGUCAGAAGACACCUCCAUGUUCAUUUGAGGGGAGAGAGAGAAACCCAACCAGUUGUUGCUCAUGGCUUUCAUCUCCCUCCUCCACUCCACCUUCUCGAGAGAGAGUGAGAGAGAGAGAGAGAGAGAGAGAGAGAGAGAGAAUCUAACAAGAACCUAUGCAAGUAACCUCAUUCAUUGAGAGGAUAAAACAUACACAAACUAUAUAGAAUCAAAACAAGCAGCAAUCCUCUCGCAUUAUAUUCUUCUCAUUGGUGGAGAACAUCAACAUGGGGCCCCUUCAAACUUAAGCCAAAAAAGAGAAGAAUAGCUAGCUCCACCAAGCAAAGCAUGGAUAGGGAUCUGUGUAGAGAGAGAGAGAGAGAGAGAGAGAGAGAGAGCACCUAAACCCCACUCUUGCAGCCUUUUAUAAAUACAAGCCCUUAAACCCUCCUAAAAGCCCUUUGCUUAUGAGAAGUACAGCAAACAUCCCACUACAAUGGACUCUCUUUUGAUUUGCUCAUGACCAAGGAAGAAGUGAUUGAAGAGAGAGAGAGAGAGAGAGAGAGAGAGAGAGAGUUAAUGAGAGGUUGCCAUUAAGGAGCUUUUCUACUCUUUCCUCUUUCUUCUUCUCCUUUCCUUCCCCUUCUUAUGCUAUAUCUAUAUCUUUAGCUGGAUAGUGGUCAGAGAGAAACAGUCUCUCUCUCUCUUUCUACCUCUAUCUCUCUCUCUCUCUCUCUCUCAUGGCCAUGAGAGAGAGAGAUAGAUAGAUAGAUAGAUAGAUUUAGACAGAGAGAGGACAACUGUCUCAACCAGUCACUUCACAGCAGUACCAUCUUCUGUACCACACUACUGCAACAGCUACCCCCCAAGGAUCCAAAUUAAAAUCAUAUGCCCAACCUUGUUCAUUCAAAAAUCAAAACAAACAUAGAGAAAGAUUGACAAAGAGAGAGAGAGUUAGAGAGUUGUCUAUGUACUCCACAAUGAGGGCAAUGCUUCGUGUUUUGCAUAUUCUGAUGCAUUUAAUAUCUUUCUCAUAUGUCAUUUUCACAUAUAUGACAAUAUGAAUAAUAGUUAGUAUUUAUAUAAGGUGUGAUUUUUUGAGAAUAAUGCAAAAUAAUUAUUUGUAGGGAUCUGAUGCACCUCAAAAACUAUUGUUGUGCCAAUUUUCAUCAAAACUUUAAUUUUUUAUUUUUUUUGCCUUUUUGCAUUACUAAUUAUUAGAGAAAUCCAAAUACACUCUUGGAAUACCUUAUGUAUGAGAAAGAGAGGUGGGACUAAUAGUUACAGUUGAUAUUGAUAUUUCAUUACAGUUGUAUACAGGAGAAAUAAUAAAUUGAGAUCCAGUGUGGGAAUAGGGAUGGGGAACCUGUGUUUUGCUGAAAACUUGCAUGUUCAUAUAAACAUGUCAUGCUUUUUUUUGAGCUACUGGGAUGUAGUCAACAGCUGCUUCCAGACAAAAAAGUGGUAUGUGGGUCUCCAUGACAUGCUUCAUAUAUUCCAGGAAUGAUGAGGGAAGGGCCCAAAAUCAUCAAAAAAUAAAAAUAAAAAUAAAAAACAAUAAAAAGAAAGAAAAAAAAAAAAGAAGAAGAAACUCUCUCUCUCUCUUUCUCUCAUGCAUGUUCUCAUGUGAAUUGAUAUCUAUGUAUACUGUUACCUACUCAGUUACAGGAAUCAAGAGGGCAAGUAAUUACCGACCGUCUGUAGAGUAAGUGAUAAAAGACUUGAUGAUUGAUACCUGAGAUCCAAGUUCAAAUUCUAAUUGAUUCACAUUUUCAGCUAAAUUUAUUUCUAAAUGAAAUAAAUGAAGCGGUAGCGUGCUACCUAUCUCUCUAAAAAAAAAAAGAGGGCCAGUAAUUAACUACAAUAAGUUCUUAAUUUAUAAAGGGAAAACUUAAAAUGCUACCUAUGUGGUUUUACACUUUUUUAUUUUAAUAUUUCGUAGUUUAAAGUGUAUUAAUUUAAGACCUUAUGAUUUCGUACUUUCUCAUUUUAGUACUCUGUUCCUGUGGUUCAAAGCGCAUCAAUUUAGUAUUCUGUAGUUUAAUUUUUCUCUUUUUGUUGGCUCCUCUGUUAAUAUUUCGUUAAAUUAUAUACAAAAAAUUUCAGAUACCCUACCUAGGUUUAUCGAAUAUUUACUUUAGUAUUCUUUAGUUUUAACUUUGUCACUGAUUUUUUUUUCCUCCGUUAAUAUUUCGUUAAAUUAUAUACAAAAACUUUAGAUACUUUAUCUAGGUUUACCGAAUAUUCACUUCAGUAUCCUUUAAUUUUAAUUUUGUUAUUGAUUUAACGCAAAUAAUUAGUGAAAUGGAUAAUAAAAAGAGAAAAAUAAAACCAUAAGAUACUCACUUGAUAUACUUUAAACCACAGGGUACUAAAGUGAGAAAGUGCGAAACCACAGGGGCUAACUUGAUACAUUUUAAACCAUAGGGUACUAAAGUGAGAAAGUCUGAAACCACAGGGGCGGGAUUUGAAGUUUACCCUAAUUAAUUUCAAUAAGUUCUUUAAAUGGUUUUGGAAGUUCUUCUUUUUCUUUUUUAGUUUCCUUCUAAUUGGAUGCUAAAAACUUAGUUUGAAUUAAAGUUAUUACAUGGGUUUUAUUAAUUAAGGAAAGUGGUGUGUAAUUGCAUGGGUCCUCUCCUCUAAAGCCAGAAAAACAGCUUGAAAGUACAAAGAGGAAUGUGCCUAACUUCUUAUUAAGGGAACUUGUUAAUUCUAUAAUUUAAGCUGAUUAAGGGCCCUCCUUAAUUAUAAUGAUUUAAACUGAACUUUGCCUUUUGAUAGAUAACCCACAUGUUGUAUUCUAAUGUUCUGAUUACCGCGAAAUCAUCACUCCCUCUUCCCCACGAAACAUAUAAUUAUAAGCUCUUUUUUCUCUUGAAUUUUAUGGCUUAAUUGCUUGUUCUUAAUGAAGUUCAUACAGAAUUAAGUAUCAUUUGCACUGAACUAUUUGAAGAAAUAUUAGUAUUAUUUUAUUUAUACCAUUUUAAAUAUUUUAGAAGUUUCAACGAUUAAAUUCAUGUUUCUUGUUUUUCAUAAUAAAAAUAGCUACUUUAGAAGGAAAGUAUUUAAUUGCGUCACCUCUUCUGAUUAAAUUCAUGUCUAUCGCUUUUCAAAAUAAAAAUAGCUAUUUUAGAAAACAACUAUCUAAUUGCAUAAUACGAUCCGAUCCGCUAGUAACAAUAACUUGUUGGGUCCAAACCACUUGCCCAAUGCUUAAAUCUAGUUAUUAUUACUAGCGAUAUUCUAAUUAAAAUCGUUGUUUAGACCCUGACGUUUUCGUUAUGUUCAAAGCCGAUAACAGACAGACAGAUCAGGACUAGAAUUAAUGUGAGAUUUUGGAGAUGGAUCUUACGGGUUCAAAAGAUGACUCCCACCAAAUCCGUUGGUCCAAAUCCGUUGGUAUAGCAUUUUGCCCCGCAUAGCACUUAGCUCUCACACUUCCGGCUGAUAUUCGGCUCUGAUACCAAUUGUAACGACUUGACCCGCCGGCAAUAAUAACUCGUCGGGUCCAAACCACCGACCCAAAAUACUUAAGCUUAGUUAUUAUUACCAACAUGCGAGGCCUCAUAUAUUUUAAUCAAAAUCAGUUUUUUAUCCGAUGUGGAAUUAUUGGGGUUGGGGUGUUCCAUUGCAUCACCAAAUCAUUGUGCUGAGAAGAUGUGGCGUGAGAUGCUUGCUUUGCAGCUUGAUAGGCCCCCUAAUAAUAAUAAUAAUAAUAAUAAUAUAUAUAAAUCCCCUACUUAGACUAUUUUAGGAGGGAGUAAUGAGCAAUGUUGCUCAAUAUUUGGAGCCCUUAGAAACUGGGAGGUGGGGAUUAUUAUAUCUCCUGAAUAAGAGGCUCCUAAUUAUGGCUCUUCUAUGAUGAUGAUGAUGCAUGCAGAUGUGCAUGGCUUUUUUUGGAGACAGAUUUUCAAGCAAAAAUGAUUGCUUGGUAUCAGAAAAGGAAAAGGGCAGUAGUAGAGGGAUUUGAGCAUCAGGAAUGAGAGGGGAAGCUGCAUGCAUGGGGUCAUCAGGAGGAGUUGAGAUUUGUUCCCUAGACUUAGUCGAUCUCCAUCAGUUGUAGACCAUUAAUAGCAGAAUAAUAGAUCAAAAUAUACGUUAUAAAUUCAGACUCUAGUUGAUUUUAUCUAAAGGAUUAAGUUCUUAACACUUCUGCUUACAUAAAUAUCAGGUAAACUAUGUCACGUGCGUUGAUUCGAAAGGUAACAAAAAAAAAUGCAUAUAAAUUGGCAGAUAUGAAAAAUAACCUUUCAGAAUUUAAGAUUAUUUUUUGUUGAAUGGUGAGGAUUGAUAAUGAGAGGUUGGAUGUGUGAAUGGUCCAUGUGAUGACAUGGUGGAGUAGAUCCAAGCAAUAGUUUUUUGCAUGAGAAGGAGAUUUCUUUGGCAUGCCCCCCCCCCUGAUCUCUCUUUUGAUUGUUGCCAUCAUGGUGGAGACCACCAGCUAUACAACCUACAUAAAGAGCUUUUUUCCCAUAGAAUAAUACCCCUAGCUAGUUAUGCUACGUGUACCUACAAAUGGACCCUAAAAUAAUUGUUAAUAAGUUAUUUUCUUAUUUAUACAUAUGAUAGGUAACAUUUGAUUUAAAAUUUCAAACCUUAGACAACUUUAAAAUAACAAAUUAAUCUUUAAUAAGUGUCCAUUCAUCAUCAGCAAUAAUGGAGGAUACAAUUUAAGGCACACUAAGUAUUAUUAGUCGAAGUAUGUCUCUUCUUUGUCUCUAUGUACUUCCACAGCUAAAGUAAAAAAUUCAAGUAUCAAAGGUAAAAGCUCCGAUUUAAAAGCUUUAUUAUAUUAUAAAAAUAAACUAUAUAUUCUAAAAACUUAAUGUGGUCCUAAUUAAUAUCGAUGUUUCUAUGUAGCUACAAACUCGGUUAGUAUGAUCAUCUUCUACCUACGGUAGUCUUUCAUUCCUUUCAUUCUUUAGAUAUCGAAUUUUAACUCCAUGACUUGCUGUUUUAUUUCGAAUCUAAAGUUCUUAGAGAUAUCCUACACGCGUACAUGGUAGACCCGGUCCACACAAUUAAUGAUUCUUAAAUAAGCCAAAAUUGUUGGAGAUAAUUAUUUGGCCAUGCAAAUUAAAUUUAUUUGAUUCUAGCAAAGAGGUGUGCACUGCAUCGUCCAGGAUAUAUAUAUAUAUAUAUAUGUCGCAGAUUUUGCACGGUAGCCCAAAUAUUAUUACAAAUUCGCACCUGAAGAUAUGCCCAUUUGCGUGUGGUACAUCGCAUUUACUAUGUUAUAUUAAUCUCAUUAAUUAUCAUAUCUAGCUAAAAACAACAACAAGGAUCAUAUAUAUGGUUGUUCUUUAAUAAACACAAAAAAAAAGAGAAAAAAAAAUUAAAAUAAAAUGAUUCAUGCAUGCUCCAGAAACUUGGACAAAUUAAUAUGAUAGUACAAUGUCGGUGAAGGUAUUAAAUAGUCCUCAAUUUUGCAAGCAUGCAUGUGCAUCGUAUAUAUAUUAAUUUUGCAGUGAUGUUCUACGAUUGUACUUUCGCUUUUACUAAUGCAUAUAUGAUCAUUUUUAUGUGGCAGGUGAAGGAGAUCGCGUACAACUCUUUAAAGUUCGAACUAAGUGUGCGGAUUUAAUCGCAGAUUCACUUAGUUUUUAGAAAUAAAUUCAGCAAGAAAUAUAAAGAAAUUAAGCUUCGUACUUGAAAACUCAGAUACCAACGAUCAAAUUUUAGUCAACUCGGUCACUAAAGAAAUAUUUAUAUAUAGUUUAGAAAUUUUCUCCAUAUGAAUACAUGAUCAAUUUUCUUAAUAUUUACAUUACGUUUAAGAUAUUAUUAUAAAUUUGUUUCGUUAAUUGUUGUAGCAAAUACUCUAAUAUUAAUUUUGUGAGUUUUAUUUGAAAAAAAGUCAAUAGAAGAAAUUUUCUUCUAUUGAAUACGAGACUAUUAUUCUUAAUAUUUACAUUGCAUGUACAAGAUAUUUAUUGUAAAUUAGUUUUGUUGCUGUAACAAAUAUUUUAAUAUUUUGCGAGUUUUAUUUGCAAAAACUCGUCAUAAAUUUUAUUUAUUUUUUCUCUCUGAUCAGCUACGGUAACUCGAGAUCCUCGGUUCGUCUUAGCUAGUACAAUUUCACAAUGUCAGGGUCAAAAUCUUGGGCUUAAAAUUAAUGAAAUGGGACACAAAAUUUGCAUAACCGUAUCAUGAUCAUAUAUAUAUAUAUAUACAUACCCUUUAUUUAGAGCAAAAUAUUUAAUGAUAGAGGUAGUAAUUAAUUAAUGAAUUAAUUCUCUAUUUUACUGCUAUCUCUUAAUGCUGAAUAUUAUAUAUCAAUUUUACUUAUUUUUAUAAAUUGAAUACCAAUUUUUGUUAAAACUAAUCAAUAAAUUCAUUAACUACGGAUAAAAGGUGUUAACGAUUUAACGUAUAAACAAUGGUAAUUGUCUUUAUUUUCCUAAUUUUUGCUAUUUUUUUUAAAAAAAUUUUGUGAAUCCUACAAUUUGAGGGGUGUGAUAUUUAUACCUAUAUAAAAAUACGUAGGUAGCAUUUUUCUUAAUUUAUAAAGCAAGGUCUUAUUCAAAAGUUAAUUAGUUAAUUAAGUAUAUAUAUGGUGCAAAUUAUGUUCUCCAAUUGAGGAAGUGUUUUUUUUAUUUAAUUUUUACUAAAAUAUUAUUUUAUUCAAUAGGAUUGUCAAAGUCUUUUCUUAAUUCUUUUUGUUUAGGUCAUUAAUCAGGGCCUGUUUGGUCCUGCUAAGAGUUUUGUUUGUUUGUUUUUUUCUUUUUUACUUCUAUAGGAUAUGGUGUAAUUUAAUGCAAUACUAUUUGAAAGAAUAAGCACUACAUUUAAGUACUUUGCACAAAAUUUUCGUACAGCAUAACCAAAAAUAUCAAACUAAAACUGGAACUUUUUGUUAGAUUUGUCUCUAAUUCUAGAAUUGCAAAAAAAAUUUUAACUCUAUUAUGUUUUGAUUAUUCCAUUAAAUUAACUUUAGAUUGUCGCUAAUUUUUGUGGGUCUGUAUUUCUAGUUGUAUUAAAAUUUAAUUACUAUUAUAAAUAUAGCCUUUAUUCUAUUAGUUUGGUGUGGCAGAUGAAAGAAAGGAUAUGUGUAUUUUUGGAAUUAGGGUUUUGUGACAGAAUCGUAUUUUAUACAUUAUUUUAAUUAUAAUGAAGAUUCUCGUUCCGUCUUCAUCUGUGGACAUAGGUUGGUGAUGGAACCACAUAAAUAUUAUGUAUUUUAUUUAUUUAUUUUUUAAAAUCUUUUUUAUAUUUCUGUACUCGACGAACUAAAUCAUUUUCAUUUUCAUAAUACACUUUCAGAAGAUAAGAGAGAGAGAGAGAGAGAGCAGUGGUCCAGUACACCUGAAGCAAUGACAGUGUGAGUGAUGGUGGUGCUUUUGCUCUUCCCCUGAUGAUACACUACAAAGCUGAGUCAAAACCUAGCCAGAUAAACUGACUUGAGUUAUGCCAAUUGAUUUGGCCCCAGCUACAUACUAGCUACAUGCUAGCUAGUACAGUGUACAACAAUAUGUACCUAGCUAGGCCAAGUUGCAUUUAGCUUUACAUAUAUUUUGUCUUCUACAAGACUAGCAAAAUAUAGUAUAAAAUGAGCAUGGUUAUCUGUAAUAAACAUUUGGUAAUCUGAAAAGUGAGAAGAGUGUUUGUUUCACUGAGGGCCCGUUUGUUUUGGUGUAAGUGGAGUAAUAGAACUCAAGUUUCAUCACUUUCGUUAUUUAUUUUGAUGUAAGUGAAAAAUAUAAUGUAACUCAAGUUACAUUAGAGCUCCAUUUCACCUACUCUCGACUUCUUCCUCUAAAGUGCCGAACUCGACUUUUACUACACUCAACUUCCUCUAAAAAAUUUAUUAAACAGUAAAACCUAAACUCUACUUCCUUUAUAAUGGGUUAGAAUUACCUUAUUUAUAAUAAAUUAGGAUUAUUUUUAAAUAAUAAAAAAAACUAAUUAUAUAAUAGAUUAAAUUUUAUAGUGGUAAAUUUACUACUAUAUUUAGGAGAUAAUAAGAUCCACUUACUUAUAUCAAAAUAAACAACGGAACUCAAAAAACUAAUUUUACCAGCACCAAGUUACAUCAAAACAAACAACAGAAGUGAUUGAAUUUAACUUUCAGGCGGUACAAGUUACGUCAAAACAAACAAAAAAAAAAUAAUCACACUUCAGGGAAACUCAAACACCACUACUCUUGAUUUACGUUGAAUCUACAAAUACGUCAAUCCAAACGCCCCCUAAAAUGAAGAGUAAUAAAAUAAUUUUCAGUCGUAAAUGUUUGUUUUUAUUAUUUGGUUUUCCGAAAUCUUAUUCACGAUCGAAACUCAAAUUUUUCGAAAUAUCGUGAUCGACUUCAGUUCAUCUCGAGCUAUGAUUAAUUACGGAAAGUAAAAGUGAAGAAAAAAAAUAAUAAAAAUAUUUAAAAUGAGAAAUUUUAGUUUUUAUGUUAUUCACUUCCGGUCGAAUAAAAAAUAGAACUGAAAAAACUUUAGUUUUAUAACUAGACAAACAAACGGCGGAAGAGAAGUAAUUUUUACUCGAGAAUUUUUUUUUACCUAAAUUCUAAUUCACUUGAAAUUCUAUUUUAAUCCAAACUUCACCUUUGAUUAAAAAAAAAAAAAAAGCAAAAUUAUGAUUUUCAGGUGAAAAUAUAAAAGUUAUAAACUCAUGAGGGCUUCUAAUUCUACUGUGGCGAAACAUUAUUGAGAGAAAUUUAAUAUUUUUGUAUUUUUGGUAGUAGUACUUGAUCCAGAGAAAGUAUUUUAUCAAACAGCACUAUAUUCUACGGACUAAUUUAGAGUACCUAAAAUAUCUACACUGUGUUGAAGUAUUUAAGGUCAAUUACAACAACAAAGAUGAAGAUAAAGAAGACAACGUGAUCUUAUUAAAUCGACAUGUUACUAUUUCAUGUACACUCAUAAGUGUUUAUUUUAUUUAGCUUCUAAAAUAGUUUCUCUAUUCAAGAAAGUAAAAGCAUUUCUAAAAUGAACGACAUGUUAAAGUCUAAUGUUUGGAACCUUGUGAAAAUACUACAAGAAUUUUUAUUAAAUAGUCAAUGUAAACAACACUUCUGCGAAAGUUGCUGAGUUAUCAAACCAUGUCCACAUAUAUUUUGCCAUUGUUCUCAUGUAAGACUGAGACCAAGUUGCUACACUGCAAAGCAAUUUCAUCCAUAUGGUACUAAUUUGGCCUCAUUAUAAACUUCUAUUAUUCCUCAACUAAGGAACAAAAGGUGAAUUGAGCUUUGUGGACCUAAUUUUUAGGCCUUCCUCUUUUUUUUUUUUUUGGUUGGUGUAUACAUUAUAAACCUUCCCUUGUAUUUUGAGCAUUUAUGUACAUUUUAUAAAUCAUGAGAUGGUAAAUUAAUUAUAGCACUUUACUGUCUCCCACUCAUAAUUUUUCAAACUGAAGUUUAUGAAAUAUAUUAUUUUGCUAUCCUUUCUCAACAAAAAAUCUUGUGAAAACUAAAGGCUUAAUUACACUACACUACAUGCUAUAGUUAAAGAGUUCUUUUUUUAUCUAUAUUAUAUAUAUUAUAUAUCUAUAUAUAUAAUAUAUUUUCAAAGAUACCAAUAAUUUAUUUUUGGUCACUCUCUCUACUAUAUAUGAAAAUUAGCACAUUGUUUACAGCAGUAGAGUGUACAUUUAGCCACUUUGACAAGAAAAAAUUGAAAAACACCAGAAAAUAAUGUGAAAAAUAGUUAAAAAUAACUUGACAAAAACUUUCAUUAAAUCUAUUUUGAUGGGUUAUUUUUUUUUUCCUACUAUCUAAAUACUGUCUUUUAAUAGAGUUAUUAGUUUCUAUUUAAAACAACAGACUUGUUGCCAGUUUUUUUUUUUCAAAAAUAAAGUAGUAUAAAGCAAGAAAAAAAAUCUAAAAGUAAAGUGUAAAAUUUGAUUAAAAAAAAUAGUUCGAUAAUGUCUUUUCAUUAAAUCUAUUUUGAUGGGUUAUUUUUUUUUUCNUACAUAUAUAUAUAUAUAUAUAUAUAUAUAUAUAUAUAUAUAUAUAUAUAUAUAUAUAUAUAUAUAUAUAUAUAUAUAUAUAUAUAUAUAUACACAUAUAAUGUAGAGCUACUAUAUAUGCUAGCUAUCGAAAGUAUAAAAGAGUUGGUCAUUGGAUCAAGAAUUGUGUGUCGGGAUGAUAGUGAUCCUCCUAAGAUAAUUAAUAAUAUUAAUCCAAAUAUCAGAAAUGAUCAAAAUAAUUAUAAAGGCCAAAAAAUUGAAAACACAAACUUCUUUAUACUUCCCAGAUUAAGUAUAACAGCUCUACGUACUAUAUAUAUAUAUAUAGUAUAACAAAUGAAAAUAACACUAAAGUACAAAACUUAAGCAAAAUUACAAAGAGUGUAGUGCUGUAGUUUGAACUACAAAAUAAUAAACUGUAAAUAUAUUAUAUCUUAGAAGUGCUUCUUUUCUUCUUCUUCUCAUUAUUUUUUUCAUUUUUUGAGCCUGAUAUAUAUCAUGCAUACAAAAGAAACAGUAAAUGGCCCACCACCCUUGGCCCUUAGCCUCAGAUGCUAAAGUGGAAGUAUAUAGUACCCAUAUAAUUUUAGCCUCACAUGAACAUGAGGGACCAUAACAAAAACAAAUGACUUGACAAGUCAUGGACAUAUUUGGGGGCACUCUCCUAGUACACAUUAUUCGAAUUAUCACAUGAUUUUCCUUUUUUUGUUUUGAGAAUGAUAGGGAUUUAAUAGUUGUAUAUAACAAAGACAUCCUUAAACAGAAGGGGAAAAAAAAAAAAAAUCUAUCAUCAUGGUUGGGAAACUUCUAAUACACAUGAUGUUCUUAUGUCUAUAUUAUCCUCACUUUUAAUAAUUAUGCUUGCUUUUGUCAUCCUAAUGUUUGUGUUAUAAUUAAUAUGAAUCAAGCAAAGGUUACACGUAUUUGGAAUCACCGCAGGACACGAUGUCGUAUAUUGUGAGAAAAUGCAAUAGAAAAAUAUUUUAUUUGUUUCUGUCCUAUCUAGUUUGUUAAAAUGUAAUUAUUAUGGUUUCAUCAAAAUAAAGAGAAUCAUAAUUCUAUAAACUUUUUUCACCUCAUUUUUUUUUUAGACCCAUCACAUUAAGCUGAGAUUAACAUAAAAUUAAAAGCCUUAAAAGUUUUUAUAUGUCAAAUGUUCACUAAACUGUUCUAGAAAUCAAACCAAUCACACACAAGUUGGUAUUUGAAAUGGAUUAAAAAAAAAAAAACAUGCUAUUUCAUGGCUCUUGGCUUUCUUGGUGGUUUUUGUUUUCAAUGAUAGAAAUAGAAAAAAGAAAGGAGGAGGGAAAGGUGACAUCCUAUUUCCUGCUGAGCCCCUGAAACAGUGCCAAGAAUAAUACAAAAUUUAAAUGUAGGGGGGUGGGGGUGUGUGGGUGUGGGGGGGACUUGUCCUUCACAUGGGGAGCACAAAAUCCAAACAAAAUCCAAGCAAAGAUCCCAAGCAAAGAGCACAGAUAGCCUAAAGGUAAAGGAGGAGGAAGGUCUAUUUGGAUGGCAACUGAAUGAGAGUGACAAGUGCUUCUGUACAAAGAGAAAACAUAACUAAAGUCAGAGAGAGAGAGAGAGAGAGUUCACAUGACAUUCCACUUCCCUCUUAACUCCCAUAUAAGUCUGUUCCAUCUUCCGUUUGCUUUUCUCUUUAUCUUGUAGUUAUAUUGUAACGUGUCUGAAAAUAUUAGUCAGAUUUGUAUAUAUGAUAGAUUAUUUAGUAAUAAAACACGGAGUGGAGUUCUAUUGCCAGAAUGUGUCGAGUUCGAGUCCUACUUAUUUGAGAGAGCAAUAUCAAAGGAUGUCGAGCUCUCAGUUGUCAAAGGGGUUUUUUUUUUUUUUUUUGGAGAUAAGUAGCAUGUUACUCACUUCGUUUAUUACAUUUAGAAAUAAAUUUAGCUGAAUAUGUGAAUCAACGAGAAUUCGAACUCAAAACCUCAUAUACCAAUCACCAAGUCUUUUGCUGUUUGCGCUAGCUAGGAACGGUCGGUUUUAAAGUUUUAAAAAAAAAGUGACGAUAAAGUUUUGUUAUAUGUUAGUAGGCACAAACCUGCAUGUCUAAGACACUGGUUGAAAGUCAGAAAGUUAUCUAAAAAUAAUUUAUUUGGUAUAAAGAUUUGUAGCCAGAUUGUAAAAGAAAAUUUUAUUUUUUAUUUCUUGAAAAAUAUUGAUAUUCAUAAUUUUAUAGAAUAAUAUAUUUCACUUACAAUAUGAUUUAUCUUAUUUAAUUAGAAAAUGACUUGAAGGUCGAAUACCAUAUCUAGUUCUAAACAUUUGAUUAUUUUUUUGUUGUCUACUAAAUAUACAAGUUUUACAAAAGAACCCAUAAAGAUAUAACGAAUAAGAUAUCCACGCUUCAACUAAGUUUUCGAGCUUGAUGGAUUCCAUUAGUUUUGUCGUGUUAUUUGGGCUAUUAUGGUUUAAAGCUGACUUAUUAAUUAUAUUUUGAUUUCAUUUAUAUAAAACACAACUAAUAGUUUAUUUUCUUUGCCCCCUCUCUCUUACUCUCUAUCUAUCUAGAUGAAUGGGGUCAACAACAUCUAGGGGGACAUUGUAUCAAAUGUCCUAAUCACUUUAGAUGCACCUCUCCUUCCAUCUCCCUUGUCUUAAAACCCCACAAAAGAUUCUGAGGUCCUUACACUAUCUAUAGUCCCUUGUUUUACUCUUGGGUGCCUGAUGGGAAAGAGGAGACAGUUGUGGGGUCAUAACUCAUGUGUAACAACAACACACAUAUACUGCUCACUACAAAAAAGUGGUUGGAUUAAUUAGGUAAGAGAAAAAAAUUCAAAAAAAAAAAAAGGAGAGGAUAAUGAAGCCAAAGCAGGAGGAGCAUUAACACAAAAGCCACCAAAAUAAGCACUGCACCCAGAAAUGCUUUUCUCUUCUUUUCUUUUUUUUUUUUUUAAUGGUGUGGGGUCCUUUUCAAAGCACAAAUGGGAUGCAUGCAUUGCAUUGCUUGCACAUUCCCCUCUUUGUAACUUUAUUUGUGUGUGUGUGUGUGUGUGUGUGUGAUUAAAGGAGCCAGUGAUGAGAUCAGAGCCUUCAAUGCCAAAGUUGUCUUUAUGGGGGGGUCACUACAGGUUGCUUAAGGCUGAAAAGAGCUUUGUUUUCAUUCCUUGCUUUUGCUUUUGCUUUUCUCAAUCUCUCUCUUUCUUUUCACACUUUGUUUACAAGCAUAAUUAAGCUACUACAUAAAUCAACUUACUUUGUUCUGAGUGAUAAUUGAUAAGUAGGAGAUUUGAGGAGUUACUUAACUGAUGUGGUUAUAACUUUUGUUGAGGGGCCUCAACAAUAAGAGAAAAAGAGUUUCUAUUAAUAAUUAGGACUUAAAAGCUUAAUUUGUCAGUUUAUUAUUGGUUUGGUGCUGAUGACAUGAUGAUUUUGAGGAUGAAAAGUACUUCCCUGUUCUAGUUAACAUGAUUUUGUAGAUGAAAAGUACUUCCAUGUUCUAGUUCUAGUUCACUAAUAAAAUACCUUUAACAGCUUCUUGUUAUAGCUAAAAGCGAAAGCCUCUAACUGAAGCUUCUAGUUUUAGCUCCUUGAGCUAGCUUUAGCUUUGCCGUAUUGUCAGUGUUAAAUGUAAAAGUAUUUAAAAAUCGUUCUCAAUUAGCUUAAAUUUUUAAAGUGCAGCGGUUGUUUAACAUGAUAUGAAAAUAGAAGAUUUUGAGUUCAAAUUACGCCAAGCUCCUAGCAUCAUUAAUUUUCUCCCAUUUAAUUUAAAGCUCAAGUCACGAGUCUAACAAAAGAGUUUUACAUGAGAAAAAAUAUUAAAUGUAAAAAUAUUUAAAACACAAGUUAAAUUUUAGACUACAACGGUUGUUUAACAUAAGAUUUUAGUUUUCGCUAUAGAUAAUAAUUUGUAUAAGCAUCACUAAAGAACAAAAAGGCAAAUCUCUAUAUUUUUCACCAAACUUCUUUUUUUUCAAAAUUAAUUAAUCCCGAGACAUUUCCUGUCAUAUUGAUCUGUUAGGUAGCACGCUACCCGCUUCGCUUAUUUUAUUUUAUUAACAAAUAAAUUUAGCUGGAAAUGUGAAUCAACUAGGAUUCGAACUUGGGAUCUCGGAUACCAACCACCAAGCCCUUUGCCACUUGCUCUAGGGACAGUCAGUACGUAUUAUUUCAUUGUUAUCUCUUCAUCCAUUGCUGUAGCAUUUUCUUAGCGGGUCAGAAUGAAUUCGAAAUGAGUUAAAUUUUAUUUUUUAUUUCCACUUAUCUUUAUUUGAUAAUUUUUUCAUAAAUCAGGACAGAUCAAAAGAAGAAGAAUAUUUCAUCCCCGCUCUAUUUUUUAGUUGAUUAGGAUAGAUUCGAAGCGAAUUAUUAUUUUUUAUUUUUUACUUUCACUUACCACCUGUUCUGAUAACAUAAUGUUGGUGGGUUUUAUUUCAUAAAUAAAUGACAUGAGAGUACAUAAAGAAGGUAAAUGCUUUACAAUGUCUUUUUUUAUUUUUAAUUUUUUUUAAAAAAUAUUUUGGAAGGGAGAGUGUAAUUUGCAUGGAUCAAGUAACAUCAAAUGCACCGACCUAUUACUCACUACAUUGAGCUUUUUUUUUUUUUUUUUUUUUUUUUUUUUUCCUUCUUUCCUGUUGCUUGAUUUGAUUGGUCAUUUCGUGUAGUCAUAUAUACAUAUAUAUUGCCUAGACAAAUUAUUACCUACCUACUACUUAUAUGAAUCAUAUGGAAUAGAUGUUCCCAUGUUUGUAUCACAUCAAACACUUAUUUUUGGCAAAAAAGUACCUUUCCCCUUUAAACAUAUCGUAUGGAAACUAAACAUAUCGUAUGGAAUCUUUGUCAGAUUCUAAAUUUUGAUUAUACUAUUUCAUCUUCUGAUUGUACUAUUUAACAAGUAAAAAAUUUUGAUUUUGUUACUUUAUCUAUUAAUGCAAUUCUAUUUGAGCUCUUUGAUGGUUAUUUUGUUACAUUACGAUCCAUUAAAUUAAACGCCACGCCCAAAUUAUAAAUUAUGAGAUUAAAAAUCAAAGUUUAAAAUUCGUAAUCGACCUAAGUUCCACACAUUUUCACCUAUUCAAACAAUUUGAGUUAAAGUAGGGUUUGGUGUGGUGGAUAAGGGCUUCUGGGCUACGCGAGAUCGAGCUCGGGCGCAAUCUCAGCCCAACAUGCAAAUUCGGGCUCGAGACCUCGACCAAAAACUUCGGGUACAACCAAAUUGGGUGCAGGCCCAACCCACAGAAAAAAUGGAGAGCAAAUCCAAGUAGGUUUAGAAGUCGAGCCCGAGAAUCUGUUUGACUUCGCUUCUGCUUUAAGCUAUAGCUGUUACAAGUACACCGUUAGAAGUUUCUGCCAUAGCGGGAAACAAAAAUUGAGAUUUCGAGACCCAAAAGUAAAAGCCUCACUCUGAAACUUCUGAUUCGGUUAAAGCUGCUGAGAAACAACACUCUGUCAUACACCAUUAAACCCGUAAGUAACUACAGAACAGUUGGAGACAGUAAAGUCCAACGUAUAAAAUUAUUAAGUUGCGAAUUGAAGUACAAGUACAAUGAACAGUAUAUAAGAACAUGGGGAUGCUUCAGUGUAUGCAAUUUUCAACCAAAUAAUCUAUUGUAGCCUAUCAAACCAAAACAAAUUAGCUCACAAGAAAAUUUACAUAUGCUGGUUAAUACAUGAAAAAAGAAUCAGAAUAGAUAAUCUUUGAGAAAUCUAGAACAGUUCCAAAAUUCACAUUAUUAUUAUGUGCCAUCUACAAUUGCAUCUGAAUAAUGUACUAUGAGAAACAUCUGCACCUAUUCCACCAUAACAAAGAUAAUUACAGUUGAUUUACACUCAGAAUCACCUAUGAUUACCAAAGAGAAUGUUAAAUUUGGUACCUUGAUCAAUGAGGUUGAUAGAACAUUAACAUUUAAUGAACAUCACCCCAGGUUCUGACCCCAUUAGCACGAAAUGCAGAUAGCAGAGAAUGCGCAUUCAUCCAGCUGUUCCAGCAUCCCUGAUGAUACCCAAGAUAGUACAAAUAAGUAGGGUCAUAUAUCCAAUACGCGGUUUGUGUAUUUUGAAAUCCUGCGCCGUAUGCAUAACCGGGAUAACCGAAGCUGUUCAUCAUGCGAACGCCAUAUCGACGGCUAGGAGAAGCAUCUCCUCCUGCGAGACCGCCUGCAUAGUUAUUGUUUCUGCUGCUGUUGUUAUUGUUGUGAGCUUUGCGGAACGCUCUUUUAACUUCGAUAAUCUUGUCCCUCAGCUUAUAAAACUGACUCCGCGGUACUCCCUCGACGGUCUCCGCGGUGUCGAAUACGACAAAGCCGAAACCUCUAGGGAGUUUCCGAGCAUGAUCAUACAUCAGUACAGCAUCAAUAAUAGUGCCAAAAUGGGCGAAGAAGCUCUUGAACUCCUCGGUUGUUAUGUCGGGUGGCAAACCGCCGACAAAAAUCUUGUUAGGUAUAUAAACGGUCUCAUUCUGGUCGCCGUUAAUGUUGUUGUUUGCACAACCACGGUAUUGAGAUUGAGCUUGGAUCGGCCGAUGAUCGGUGAAUUCAUGGUGCUUGGAUGUAGAUGGAUUUGCAUCAAGCAAGAGAAGCAUAAUGGAAAUGUUAGCAUAUAAAUGCACCAUAAAAUGUAAAUGAUAAUCAACUAUCGAAAAAAAAAAAAAAAAAACAACCUACAAAUAAGAAAGCAAAGAAAAAACUGUGCACCAUAAUAAACAGAGAUCUUCUUCUUUUUUUUUACCAAAUUAAUAUAAAUGUCAGUUAAUAAUUUUCCACAGAUUUUAUAAGGAAAACAUAUUAACAAGUUAAUACACAUCCAUAAUUAAUCCUCAUAGUAAUUAACUAAUAACAUUUUUAGUAGUAAACUGAUUAACUUGUUGACUGAAUACCUAACAGAUUGACUAAUAAAUUAAUUAGCUCAUUAAAUUAACGAACUAAUAUAUUAGCAUAUUAACUUGUUGUUCAUAGUAGACAAAGUAAUUAUCUAAUUUAUAUACUUCUCUACCAAAUGGUGUUUUACACAUGUUCAUAAGUAAAAAAAAACUAAUUAGCUAAUUAGUAUAAAUUAAUAAUUUGAUACUAGUUAAUGAGGCAAAGUACUUUUAUCUUAGAACUAUAAACACUCACUAUUCCCAUUAUUCUAUCCUAACUAUCCAAAAUCACCCAAUUCUCAGUCAUACAAAAAAUCUAGGAAUACGCGGGAGUAACUUAUUCUCAAACCAAACGGUACCGAUACCAUAGUAAAGCCUCUGAAACAACGACAGCUUGUGCUUAAGAGUUAAGGGCACAUCUGAGGUCGCGACAUAUGAUUACAUGUACUUUAGAUUCCUUCGACUCUUUCGCUGCAUUUGGUUUGGGGAUAAUUUGCUUACGGUGUAAAAAUAUUUGAGUGAUUCUCGAUUUCAGAAGCGUUGAAUAUUAUAUUAAAAACGCUGUUCUCUGGCAGCUUAAAUUUUUGGAGAAUAACAGUUGUUUUAUUUAAUUUAACAGGAAGGAAAACACCUCCAUUCAAAAUGAUUCUUAAACUACCAAUUUAUACAAUUAAUAAGAUUAUCUUUCUCGAUAUCAUUUGCUCGAGAAAGAUACUUCUCGCUGCAAAGCGCGGAUUUCUUUCGCUAGUCCUAAAAUUCAUUUUCUUUUCGUUUUUUUCCGAACUAAUCUGUAAAUUCAAACCCCCCUAAAAAAAAAAGGAAAACUAAUGAUUUUGGCGAAAUAAACUGAGAAUGUUACCAAAUUGAUUGAUAAUUUUACCAAAUUUAAAAAUUUAAAACUACGGUAUGACAAAUACAACUAGAUUAAUUAAUUGUUGAUAUCUAAUCAAGCAAUAAAAUCCAGCAAAAAUUUUUAACUUAAUUAGCCAGAAAAAUCCGAAUAAUAAAUUAUAACAAUUAAAAGCUCUUACCUUCCUCGAAUUCUUCAACAUCGAAGGACGGCGAGACGACGACGACGACGACGAAGGAUUCAUCUCUCCAAAACCCUAAUUCCCCAAAAGAUUUGUUUUUAAAAAAUUAGAGAUAAGAGAUAAACAUCUAAACAUAUACUCGAUCCAAGAUUUAGAAAAGAUACGAAAAGAUUUGAACGGCGGAGGAGACGAAACCCGCCGCCGUGCCGCGGCGGAGCGCCGUCGCGUCGCCGGCGAGUGUAACGACGCGGGCCACUUAGUUUAAAAAUAGAAACCGAAGGGUUAAAAUGUAAUUUGAAGCUCUGUGCGAAAAUGUCGGAAAACACCCUCAAAUACAACAUAUUUGAUAUUAAACCCCCCCCCCGGCCACUUUAAUUGUUUGAUAAAAUUGUACCGAGUUUAAUUGGACUGUGAAUCAUUUUGAAGCAGCAAUCCAAUCUUUUAAAACUUUAAUUUACUAUCUAAUAUUUUUUAAAUUUAUUUUAUUUGAGUCAGUCAAUGAUAAUUUGAUUUUAAAUUUUAAAUUUUAAACACAAUUUUCGUAACUAUAAAUUUAUUACAAUAAAUAAUUGGUUUAGAUUUUAAAGUUAAAAUAAAAUAUUAUUAAUUGGCUUAAAUAAAAUAAAUUAAAAAAUUGGAUAGAAAAAUUUAAAUUUUAAAAGAUUGAUUAGCAAAUUCAAAAUGGUCUAUAACUUAGAUAAGCUCUAUACGUGUUUAGAACAUUAUGAAAUAGUGCCCUAAGUUAUUUCUCUUUUAUUUUUUUUAUAGAGAUCUCUUAAACUGUUAAUUUUUAGUAAAAAAUUUUAGAUACGUAUCCAAUUCAUUAGUAAUUUUAUCAAAUUUGAUAAAUAAAACUAAGUCAAUUAAUAAUUAAUUAAUAUCAGAUAAAUUUAUUUUUAAUGGCUGAUUCACGAAACUGGGCCUUGGGCCAUCGUAUAACAUUCGUGGGCCGUGCUAUCUCUUUCUUUCUUUCAAAUUAUUAUUAUUAUUAUUAUUAUUAUUUAUUAUUAUUAGUAUUAUUAUUAUUAUUAUUAUUAUUAUUAUUAUUAUUAUUAUUAUUUGGAGAGGCUAAAAUAUAGAUAAUUCUCUUGAAUCAUACNACAAACCCCCUAAACCUAAAAAAGAAAAAAACCCUAAUCGAACCAAAUUACACCUAGAUUACUUAUACUGAUACAUAAAUCAGUAAAAAUUCACAAGGGGAUUAGGAUUUAGAGAUAGAGAUAGAAUUAGAGAUUAGAUUUAACAGAUUCGUUUUUAAAAAAUUAGAGAUAAGAGAUAAACAUCGAAACAUAUACUCGAUCCAACAUUUAGAAAAGAUACGAAAAGAUUUAAAAGGCGGAGGAGACGAAACCCUCGCCGCCGUGCGCCGCGGCGGAGCACCGCCGCAUCGCCGGCGAGUGUAACGACGCGGCUAGGGAUGUCAAUGGGUAUGGAUACCCGAAAUAUUAUCCAAAUUCGAGCCCGAACGGGGCGGGUUUAUCGGGAGUUAAACGGGUAUGGAUUCGGUUAAGAAUAUAAAAAAUAAAAAUCUGACGGAUAUGGAUACGGGUAUGGAUUUUGUUACCCGACCAGAGCCCGAACCAGAAUCCAAAUAAAUUAUAUAUAUACAUAAUUUAUUUUUAUUUAUUUAUAUAAUAUAUAAAAUAUUUAAUAAUUUUUAUUUUUUAGAUUUUUAUUCAACGGUAUGAAUUUUUAAAAUCCGUCGGGUUCGAGUCAGGAUUCGGGUUUCGGGUUUUUGGCUGAGUACGGAUAUGGGUAUUGAUUUUUAAAACUCGCCAGGUUCAUGUCCGAAUACGGAUUUUAAUUUAAUUUUCGAGUUCGGAUUCAGAUUUUUAAAAUCCAAUCCAAAUCCGACCCGUUUACAUCCCUAGACACAUAGUUUAAAAGUAGAAACCGAAGGUUUAAAAAGUAAUUUGAAGCUCUGUGCGAAAAUGUCGGAAAACACCCUCAUAUACAACGGAUUUGAUCUAUCCCCCUCAACUUUAAUUGUUUGAUAAAAUUGUACCGAGUUUAUUUGCACUAUGAAUCAUUUUGAAUCAGCUAUCCAAUCUUUUAAAACUUUAAUUUACUAUCUAAUAUUUUUUAAAUUUAUUUUAUUUCAGUCAGUCAAUGAUAAUUUGAUUUCAAAUUUUAAAUUUAAACAUAAUUUUCGUAACUAUAAAUUUAUUACAAUAAAUAAUUGGUUUAGAUUUUAAAGUUAAAAUAAAAUAUUAUUAAUUGGCUUAAAUAAAAUAAAUUAAAAAAUUGGAUAGGAAAAUUAAAAUUUUAAAAGAUUGAUUAGCAAAUUCAAAAUGGUUUAUAACUCAGAUAAGUUUUGUAUGUCUUUAGAACAUUAUGAAAUAGUGCCCUAAGUUAUUUCACUUUUAUUUUUUUUUAUAGAGAUCUCUUAAACUGCUAAUUUUUAGUAAAAAAUUUUAGAUAGGUAUCCAAUUCAUUAGUAAUUUUAUCAAAUUUGAUAAAUAAAUCUAAGUCAAUUAAUAAUUAAUUAAUAUCAGAUAAAUUUAUUUUUAAUGGCUGAUUCACGAAACUGGGCCUUGGGCCAUCGUAUAACAUUCGUGGGCCGUGCUAUUAUUUAUUAUUAUUAUUAUUAUUAUUAUUAUUAUUAUUUGGAGCGAGUUUAAAAUAUAGAUAAUCUCAUUGAAUCAUACACUUCUCAUUCCUAAAAUACACAAAAAAAAAAAAAAAAAAUCCUCAGUUUUUGUGUUUUUAUGUUUAACCUCUUUUAUCUUUUUUUUUUUCUAUGUAAUGUUGAAUAUGCAAAAUAGAAACACCAUUUUCUUAUAAUUUAAGGCUUUAAGCUUGUGAAAUUUUUUUUUUCACAUUCUUUAUGAUUACUUUAUUUAAUUGUUCUUUGAUUUAAUUCAAAUUUAUUGUUUGAACUAUCAAGAAAUCUAAAAUUCAAAUAUAAGGAGAAGUGUUGAAUAUAUAAAGUAGAAAAGGAAUUAUAUUUAUAAGCUGCUUAAGAGCUUAGAAAAGGAUGUGAAUAAAAAAUCAUUUUAAAUAAAUAAGAAAUAUGAAUAAAAUUAAUUAAUCAAUUAAUUAAAUUCUGUGACAAUGAUAUAUUUUGGAUUCAUAUCUUGGUUUUACAUUGGAUUAGUAUCCAAUUGGGUUAUUUUUUUUAUUUAUUGCGCAAAUCCCAACACCGAGAACAUGCAACAACAAACACUUUAACAUACACUAAUAGGGGAUUAAGUAGUAAUUAAUUAUUUAAUUAAUUUAGUUUUGCAUUACUUAAUUUCCAUGUGAUCUUACGCAUGCAUUAGUAACAUCUUGGUUAACGAGAAAUGACCACCUAAAAGUAUGCAACAAAAAUAAGGUAUUAGUUAAUAAAAAAAAAAAUUAUGCAUAAAAUUUAUCUGAAUUAUAAAUUAUUUUGAAUCGAUUACUCAAUUUUUCUAAAUUUCGAUUUUACUUUCCAAUUUUCUAUUCAUUUGAUUUGAAUCAAUUAACUUAUUUUGACUUUAAAAUUUAAGCUAAUUAUUUAUCUUAAUAAAUUUAUGGUUGCGAAAAUUAUAUGAACUAUACUAAUUAAAUCUGCCACGAUAAACAAUGCAUUUAAAUUUUUGACUGAUUCAAAUCAAAUAAAGUAAAAAGUUGGAUAUAAAAUCGAAAGUUUAAAAGAUUGAGUAGGUAAAUCAAAUUGAUUCAUAGUUUAGGUCAGCUCUGUACAUUUUUACUAAAAAAAACUACAACAUAAAAAAAAAAAAUUGUGUUUUUUUGGGGCAAAAUUUGUAGGUAGUCCUAAAACUUUUGAUGAAUUACACACACGGUACACUUUAUCUUUUACUUGUAAAAACCCGCAAAACAGUUGAUUACUCUAAAAAUUUUAAAUUUUUUGUUAUGUAUUUAACAAUAGACUCAGGCUCUCUUACUACGAUAUCAUGUUAUUAAGCAACUAAUUAUUCAACAGGAUUAUAUAUUCAACAGGAUUAGCACCUUAAUUAUGUCUCCUCUGUAUAAAAUUUUCAUUUAAAAUCUCCACCAUCUACUUUGAGUAUAACAACAAAUUUAGGAAUUCCGUUGCAAGAAAAUAUAUAUGACAAAAAGGAAACAUUGCUAGAGAAUAGGUGAAAAGUGAUUAAUCAAAAGUUUAAUUAAGGACUAUAUUAUAUUUACAUCCCUUUUUUGCAAAGAGAAUAUGAUAUAAGAUUAGGGUUGUUAAUUAAUUAUCCCACCUUAAUUAUUUUUUAUCCCUGUUGGUGUGCGGAAUCUUUGUUGUAUUCCUAGGAAAGAUCCUUAAAAUAGGAAAUGCACCAUUCAUUGGGUUUCCCCAAACUUAACUUGCAUCUUGCAUUUUUUUUUUUUAAUGGUUAAUUGCAUACAACUCCCUAUAAACAUGACGAAUUAUAAAUAUAUCGCUACAAAAUUCAACUUUCUUAGGUUAUUCCUGUAAAAGUUCUAAUAUUUUUAGUCCCUGCUGUUAGGAUCCGCCAGAAAAAAUUAAUUAAUCAUAAUUAAAAUACUUAACCCUGGUUAGUUAAUGAGGUAAAUUGAUAUUUUACCCCUCUUAUUAUAAUACAUUUUUCUCUUAAUUAAAACCCUAGCAAUGAAAACUCUUUUCUUCUUCCUCUUCCUCUUCCUCUUCCUUUCUCCCUUCCAUGCCAGGUUCGAAUCCAUAACUAGAAUUUCUCCGUCCUCAUUCAUAUAAGACGCGUGUUGUUUGUCCAUAUCGAACGUGUGUUGCUUUCUUAUUCAAUUUUCUCUAUAAUUUUUUUUUAUUUUGCUUAAAAAAAAGCUUUAGGAACAAAGGAGUGAGAGAAGAAAUUAUAAUAAUGGUGGAUUGGGUUGGGUUUUAAAGAAAAAGAAGAUAAUCAUUGAAAAUUUUGAAAGUGUGCCUACGGACUCAUGACCUGCAUAUUUGAUUAAAAAAGAAAAAAAAAACUUAAUUUAUGUGGGGAAAGAUGUGGCCUGCUUAUAAAACUUUGGAAAUAAAACUUAUAAUUGGGCUAGAAUGUUAUCAGCAGCAAAUAGGUUCUGUUGCCAUUCAUUUAUUUUCAAUAAUAGAGUUUCUAAAUCAAACAAUCGGUAUUGUUGAAUAUGAUCUAUAUCACUUAAAGUAUCUAACAAUUAAAUUUAGCAGACUCGCAAACAACGUUUGAUCACCAGCCCUAAUUUUGAGAUGUGAUGGUUAGGGAUGUCAAUGGGUUGAGUUUGGGUCGGGUUUUCAAAAAGACGAAUCCGAACCCGAAAACUAAAUUAAAACUCGUACCCGGACCCGAACCCAGCGGGUUUUAAAAACCCAUACACAUAUAUAUCCGUCCUAGACCAAAAACCCGAAACCCAAACCCGUAUCCAAACCCGGUGGGUUUUAAAAAUCCAUACCAUUGGAUAAAGAUAUAUGAAUAAAAAUUAUUGAGUAUUUUAUAUAUUAUAUAAAUAAAUAAAAAUAAAUUUUAUAUAUAUAUAUAUAUAUAUAUAUACUGAUAGUACCGUACCAUAAUACUAUAAAGUUUAUUGGGCGUUCCCGGGUUCGGGUUCAUGUCGGAUUUGGAUUUGAGUCGAGUAAAUACAAAAUCCCAUACCUUGUAUUUAUACUUCGCCGGACUUUUUAUUUUUUUUAUAACUCCACCCUAACCGAUCCCAUACCUAUUACGUUAGAUAAAUGUCACCCUCCGUUUAGAUCGGAUUCGGAUAAUAUGUUCGGAAUAUUGGCAUCCCUUAGAGGUGGUAAGAUAAAGUGGGGGGCGCGGUGAUGAGUGGGGGUGGUGUUGUUGGUGCAUUUGAAGACAGGUGUCGCCUUCAAAGCGGCGACCGUGACGCGGCGCAGGUUCGUUUUAUCCUCCCUCUCUCCGUGGGCACCCAACCCCUCGUGUUCCCCACCGGGAAACCGAACCACCCCCACCGCCCCGUACGUAACACACACACUCUCUCUCUCCCCCUCUUAAAUUAAAUUUUAUAUUAAAUCUAAAUUAAACUCUCUCAUUAAAUAUAUAAUAAAAUUUAAUUAAUGGCCUACAUUUCAUUGUUAUAAAUUACCAGUCCACAAUAAAUGAGAGUCCGAUUUAUUUCCCAUGGAGGGCUCAAAGUGAUACAUCUCAAAAUUAAUACCAAUAAUUUAAAAAGUGAAGAGCACGAAUCAAAUACGUAUCAGGCUUAGUUUAGAAUGACGGUGUUUGAAAAAAAAUGUGGCUUUGCUGAAUAGCUUUUUAAUGAGAUUUUGUUAAAACCGUUAGCUGGAUCAUAUGUUCAUUUCGCGUUCAAAUUGUAUGAGACUGUUCUAAUUUGAACAUUUUUUUGUUGGAAUCUCAGUACCGUAUUGAACAAUAAAUUUAGACCAUACUACUAUUUUAUAAAAAAAUUUGAUCUUACAAGCCGCUCAAUUCGGAGCGGAUAAAGUCGGGAGCAACAUCAAAACGGAUCCAUUUACGUGCCAAACAACGAUGCCACGUGGACGAAGAGCAUUGGGUCUCGAACCGGGCGGAGACGUCGCAAUCAAUCUCGGCCGUCGGAUUCCCCCGAAAGCAACCCAUGGUGAUGAUGAUGAUGAUGAUGAUGAUGAUCACGACGCCCACCACCAAUAGGGCUCCGCAAUAUCUCGUGAGCUCCACAAAUCUUUUCCCUGCACCUGGUGUAUAUACAUGUGUAAUACACCACAACCUAAAAGUAAUAAAUUUUGGACAAAAAUUCGUUUAUUUGUAGACUACAAUGCAUCUAUUAAUCUAUAUAUUAAUUUUUAAUAGGAAAACUUCAAAAACCCUCCCGUAGUUUCACACUUUUUUAUUUUAGUAUCCUGUAGUUUAAAGUGUAUCAAGUUAGUACUCUGUGAUUUCGCACUUUCUCACUUUAGUACCAUGUGGUUUAAAGUAUAUCAAGUUAGUACUCUGUGGUUUAAAGCGUAUCAAGUUAGUAUUCUGUAGUUUUAUUUUUGUAUCAAGUUAAUACCCUGUGGUUUUAUUUUGGUAUCAAGUUAGUACACUGUGAUUUUAUUUUUCUCUUAAUAAAAUAUUAAACCACAAGAUACUAAAAUAAGAAAGUGCGAAACCGCAGGGUACUAAUUUGAUAUACUUUAAACCACAGGGUACUAAGAUGAGAAAGUGCGAAACCACAGGGUACUAAUUUGAUAUACUUUUAAACCACAGGAUAUUAAAGUGAGAAAGAGUGAACCACAAGGAGGAUAUUUGAAGUUUUUUCAUUUUAAAAUUUUAAUUAUUAAAAAUUAUUUGCGGUUCAUGAGGUGCACGAUUACACUGGGCGGAGGCAAUAAUUUUCUCCGCGAUAUUUUCUCUCUCCGGGUGCGGGUGGGUCGAGACCCGACCUAAUCCUAUUCGGAUCCGGACGAGGACCCCACCCGCAUUGAUUGCGAGGCUUCGGACUCGGCCGCAUAAUUUGUUUGGUGUUCCCACGGGAGAAAAUGUUCGCUGCACCUGGUCUAUACACGCUCUAUGAUAUGCAUGCAGUUGAAAAUAUAAUAGUUAUAACUAUAUAUAUUUUGUUUGAUUAAAAGUGGUAAAACGAGUAGUAUCAUAAAUAAAUAAUUUAUUUCGUUGCAUAUUGAAACUAAAGUUAAUUUGAAUGUAGUUCUAAAUAUUGCGGUUGAGCAUUCUUAAAAUUAGUUUCCAAAAUUUACGAUUUUGAUAUGUAAAUAGUUUAAAUGUAAUAGAACAGAUCUAAUAAAUUAGAAUUUUAUUUUAGAAUCUUAAUUAUAAAAUAUAGACAACAUAUGAGAUAUUCCGGUACGCUCGAAAUAAUUUCUUAGCACACAGCACAAUGCGUCCUAUACUAUGUGGUUAGGCCAUCGAGAUACGGAGAUAUACGGAGCAUUCAUAUCGUUCAUAAAUAUUUUAGGGGAUUUAUAUCAAGAUUCCAAUCAUAAUUAUUUAUAGUUGCAGCAGCGCUUCCACUUCUGAAAAUAAAAUGCUUAGGCUUGUUUGGCUUAAUUUUUAGUCCUAUCGAUCGAUAGCAAAAUCUAAAUCAAACGAGGUGCUUCGUUCGUGGACAAUGACUGCUUUUGUUCAUGGUAUGUUUUGAUGAUUUUCUGUAAGCAACCAAAUUUAGUAUAUUUUAUCACUAAAAUCCUGUACAGUAUGCUAACCUACCACACAGUUGGGCCAAAUAGACGCUUAGUUUAGAAGUUCAUCACUACAAAAGUUUUUUACUGUAUAUUUAUUAAAUAUCUGAAUCUUGAUUUUAAGAUUGUAGCAAAAUACCGACUUUCCCUAGCGCAAGUGGGAAAAAGGCUUGGUGGUUGGUAUCCGAGACCCAAGUUCGAAUCCUAGUUAAUUCACAUUUCCAGCUAAGUUUAUUUCUAAAUGAAAUAAACGAAGCGGGUAGCAUGCAACCUUUCUCUCUCAAAAAAAAGAAGAAGAUUGUAACAAAAUUCAACGUCUAUAAGGCUAAAAGUUAUAAUACUUUCUUUUCUUAUUUUCAUGACUUAUUCGUAAGUUUCGUCAGUAGGCACUGUCAGAAUAGUUAAUGAGAAUUUCUUUAGUUUCCAGUAAGUUGCGAGCUUAGGUACCCAAUAAUAAACACACAAAUGCUCAAACCCCUGGCUUCUUAGAUCGACUAUCUAAAUUUAUUUCUAUAUUGAAAAAAAAAAAAAGUUAGAAACUAAGUUGAGGUUAUAGCAUGGUCCAUUUACUUUUACCUAAAAUAUGGUGCCUUAAUUUGCUUUUAAAAUCCUCUAGCUUUUUACCAAAAAAUGCAUGUGGUGGAACCCAAACUCUCCCCUAACAGUCCAAAUUCUCCAACCUUCUAGUAAAGCAACCCUUCAACUUUACCUGCACCCACCCACCACCCUCCAAAUCCCCUCUCUCUCUCUCUCUCUCUCUCUCUCUCUCUAGAAAUAUAUGUGUAUAUUUCUCUUAGAUAUAUUCAUAUAUAUAAAAAAACAACAAUAUUUACUCAAAUGGCAAGCUUAAUGUUUUUUUUUUAAUGUUUGUUUUUAAAAUAUAUUCUUAUCCAUCUUACUAUAAAUAAGAGUUAAAUCUAAGAUGUCCUACGUCGCAUAUCAGCAAAUAUACUAAUAAAAUUGUGUAAGAUUGAUUAGAUAUAAGUUCUAUAGUAUAUAAAAUAUUUAUUAUAUAUAUAUGUAGAAGAUAUUUUUUUUCUUUCUCUCUCCCUCUUCCUUGUUCUUAUUCAUUCGUGCCCCUCCAUGUGCAAGCUUGCACACCCCAAUGUGAACAGCAACACCCAACAUUCUCAAAGAUAACAAGAUAUGAAGCAAAGUAUACAAGCACUACACACACAUGUGGAUGGUUAUAUAAAUAUAUAAUAUGUGUGGAGCCAUUGAAAAUCCCAACUCAACCACUGCUUUAUUUUAAAUGGAGCCUCGUGCUCCCCAAAUAAAGCCACGGGGCCUUCACCUCAUCCUUUUCCUAUGCAUGAUUAGAUGAAGCUACCACACCCAUGCACCCAAUACACAACUCUUUAGUUGUAGUACUUGUAUGCAAGUACACAUAUGUACAUACAUACAUACAUAUAUAAGUUAAAAAUACACCUAUAUUGCUAAAUGUAUUCAUGCAUGAGUCAAAGAUAAUACGUACGUAAUUUAUAUUUUAUACAAUACCAAAUUGUAUUGAAAAAAAAGAAAGGGGGAAAGAGAGUGGGUUUAACUGUUUAAGUCGAGUCAAAGAUUUGGUGCGUGCAUGUCACAUGGCAUUGCAUUAAUUAUUGUCUAUGCAUCCACACUAACAACUUGCAUAAAUAUACAUAAAAUUAUAUAUAUGCACUUUAUAUUUGAUGUAUAUCUUACACUAUAUAUAAAAUUACAAUAUUACAAUUACUAUAUAACAAAGCGGUUAUUAUUCUAUAAAACAAAGUAUUAAUUAAAAAAUUUCUUACGAAUUUAUAACCAAUACCCGUAAGGCUAGAUCUAUAUAAGUACAUACAAAGUUUUCUAAUUAGUUAAACUUUUUGUUUUGAGAAUUGUUAAUUAUAUUCCUCAAUUUUGGGGCAAACAUAGCAAAUUUAAAUUUUUUUGCAUGAUUUUUAUUUUUUUCUCUAUAGCAAUAAAAUUUGUUCUAUAUUUUUUUUUUACUUUCACGUUUACCAUCCUAUCCUAAUGCAUAUAAAAUAAACCAUAUAUCAGUAAGUUCACAAAUAGAAAAAAAAGGUACAAGUUAAGAGUGUUUUUUUAUUAUUAUUAUUUUUUUGGAAGUUGCUUUAUGGAAUAAGUUAUUCUUUUCUUGACUCUAGCAACUAAUAUUUUCUUAGCUUAAGACAUGAAUAAGAUUUUGCCCUUUUCUCUUUUUUUUUUGGCAUUCCUAAAAAUUGCAAAGGUGUCGGCAUGCCCAAAACAAGGAGAUAUUAGUGCAUGAACCUGGUCCACCACAUUAUUCAUGAUUUUUUAUUUAAUUUGUUUGUUCGACAGAAACUUCUUUUCUUAAACAUACAAACAUAUGGAUCGAGCCUUCAGCCUCAGAGGCGACAACUCGGAUAGUAAUCAUUGCGUUAGAAAAGUGAUUAAUGCUACUCAUAACUCAACAAUACAUAAUCUAAAAUAAUAGUUUAAUUUUGUGAUUUAUAGGAUCGAAAACUUAGAAAAGCUUAUUCCUUCAAGAAUAGAAAAGGGGAAAGGUUGUAAUUUGGUUGGCAAAUUGUGUUUUAUUUCACAGUUAAAUUAUUUGAAUCUACUUAAAAACUAUAUAUGUUUAAGUAUUUAUGACUUAAUUUAAAUUUUUUUAAAAAAAUUGUAGAAAAAUUGUGUCAUGUCAUGCUAUUUUUUGUUUAAGAUACUCAUGUUGUAUUUGUCUAGGACUUUAAUUUUGGAUCAUGCAAUGGCGUUAUAUUUGGAAUUACUAUCCCAAAAUAUAGCUUGAAAUUAACUUACUAUAUAUCUUCAUAAUAUAGGUUGAAACAUUACUUUAACUAUUUGGUUUCCAACCAAAAUAGAAAAUAUAUAAAGUGGAUCACAAUUUCCACCUUGGAAAUGUGAUUUGAUUUCGAACUUUUAAUCAAGAGUUAAAAUUGAAGGACUAUGCGAUUACCGCUUUAUUAAGGUAAAAUAAAAUCCGUAGCAUUAAUUAUUCUAUUGGAUCAAAUUGUUGCAAUGACAAUCUAUUGAAGCCCAAAACUUUUCUACUUAUAUUUGCCAUAUGGUGCUAAAUAUCUAUAGUUUAUUACUCUCACUAUUUAGAGCAGCUGACAUAUAUCUAUUUUUCGACUAUUAUGAUUUAGAUUUGAUUUUUUACUUCAGAUAAGAUGUAUGAGUACAAAUAGUUGGCUGGCAUUUAUAAAGAAAAAAAAACUUUAAUUUGCCCUACUAUUAAUAGUGCAUUUUUACUUUGUAAUUCUGUGGUUCAGAAAGAUACACUUAAUUAUAUCCUAUACUUUUAUUUCUAUUUUAACAAAAAUUUGUUGUCUAAUAGGAUUAUAAAAUAAAUUUUUUUUGAAGACCGUAGAAUGAUACUUCAUUCUUUUUUUUUUUUUUAUAAUGAAACAGAAAUAAAAGAAUAUGAUAGUUAAACGUAACUUUUGAAUCACAUGAUGGCAAAAUAAAAAUUUGCUAGGUAGUUAUGCGCGGCAUUUUGAACCACGAACCAACCGGCCAUAGCGCAAAUUGCAAAAGACUUGAUGGUUGGUAUUCGAGAUCACAAAUUCGAAGUCUAGCUGAUUCACAUUUUCAACUAAGUUUUUUCUUAAUAAAAAUAAAUAAAAUAAGUAACAUGCUAUCUUUUUAAUUUUUAGAAAUAUUUUUUUGAACCAACACCUCUCUCCCCUCUCUCUCUCUCUCUAUAUAUAUAUAUAUAUAAAUAGGACUACUAUAUUCUUAUGAGUAUAGACAUAUUUAUACUCAUAAGUUUUUGGUUCUUAGAUGAAAAAAUGUACGGUUAGAAUGAUAGUGGUCCUUUAAGGUUGAAUGGUUAUGAGUACAGUACUCAAACACACACUCUCUCUCUCUCUCUCUGUAUAUAUAACAAAUUGGAAUAAAAAGGAAGAGGACCAAUGCAUGGUGGACCAGGUUCAUGCAAUAACUUGUCCCAAAAUAGAGAGCAAGGAACUAGUUCUCUCUCUCUCUCUCUCUCUCUCUCUCUAACAAGCAUCCUCUCCCAAAAGGCCAAAAACCACCCUGGUUUUCUGAGCUCAACACCCCCAACCCCCCAAACCCCCAAAACCCACCCCACUCUUCUUCCUCCUCCUCCCCCCACCACCACCAUCACAAAAAAUGCUCCCUCCUCCUCCUCCUCCUCCUCCCCAAGUCCAAUGAACCCAACUCCACCCACAAGCUAGCUAGACCUGGUGCACUGCCACACCAUGAACUCAGGUGGUGGAGCAGGGGUGGCCAUGGACUCUGGCAUGGUGGUGGUGGUGGUGGGGCCUCCUCCUCCUCCUCAUCCUCCUCCCCCUCCUUGGCCCCCUCACUGGGCCCUCCUCCAUUGUCCCCCUCCUCUGGCUUCCUCAAGCAUGGGAGGAGGGGGAGCAGUGUUGGGGGGUCAGAGGAGGCCCAGCUCAGGCUCUUGAAGAUGCCCAGAACCACUGAGCACAUGCUCUGCUUCUCCUCAUCAACCAAAGAUGACACCUUUCCUUACUACAACCACCACACACCACCACCACCACCCCCUUCUUCCACCCCAUCUUUUCUCACCAAUGCAGGUACUAGUCAUUGGAUCAGGAUCUUUUCAUGUCUUGCUUCUUCUCCUCCUCUUUUUUCCCACCCUCCCCCUUAAAAAAAAAAAAAAAAAGGUUUUUUUUUUUAAAAAAAAAUUAUUUUGUUUCAUUUUGGGGGUCUUGUCAAUAUAGAUGAUGGAGAGUAGUGGGAUGGAUCAUGGAUGUGGAUCUUAUUUUAUUUUUAAAGGUGUUUCUUUUCCUUUCACUAAUUAGUGGGGACAAAAAAGAUCAAAUAGGAGGAAAAGGGAGCAUAAAACACUAGUAUCCAAUGUUGUUCUUUUCUCCUCCCCCCCUCCUUUUUUUUUUUCUUUGCUUCUAUUAAGUCUUCAAGGAAAAUGCUAGCAAAAGUCCCUCCUUUUUCCCUUUUUUUAUUUUCGUGUGUGUGUUCUUAUUUCCUAAGUCUAACAAAUGAAAAAAGAAGACCCAAAUCAUGGUUUUGUGCAUCUUUGAUGGUUAGUUCCUUUACUUUCAUUCUUAUUAAGAAAACAAAAAAAAAAAAAGAGAGAGAGAAAAAAGUGGAACUUCUCAUGCUCUUCUCUCUUAUACUUUUUUCUCUCUUUUGUUUUAAUGGUUUAGGAUUGUUUUCUGGGAGCUCAAACACAAGCAUGAAUGGGGUAUUGGCAAGGGUGAGAGGGCCCUUCACUCCAUCUCAAUGGAUGGAGCUGGAGCACCAAGCUUUGAUCUACAAGUACAUUGUUGCAAAUGCACCCAUACCAAGUAGUCUCCUUAUCCCCAUUAGAAGGAGCCUCAACCCAUCUGGGUUCCCUCCAUUCUCUGCUCCAUCUUUUGGCUCAUCCACAUGUAAGGUUCUCUAUCUUUGUUUAUUUUAUCAUUUAUUAUUAUUAUUAUUAUGUGUCUUUAUAUCAAUUUUUGGGACAAAAUGCAAGUGGAAUUUUUUUUUUUUUUUAAGAAGCUUGUGAUAGUACAUUAGCUAUGUCAGUCUAAUAUAUUUAAUUCUUGUUGGAAAGUUUAAUGUGAGAAGUCCGGAAAAUUUGAACUGAGGAUCUCCUGCUCUAAUGCCAUGCGGAAUAUUCAUCUCUCUUUAAAAGCUUAAGUUUUUAGAGAACAGUGUUUUAGUCUUUUAUACACUCGGGAGUUUUCCCUUUUAUUGUCAUUUUGUGAGUUUGUGAGAUUUGGGUAUGUUGUAUUUUCCAUCUUCUAUAGUGAAAUCUCUAAUUCCUGUGGACAUAAAUCUGCAUGUUACCUCUCUCUAUUUGCUCUGUUUGUCCUUGGCCGACGAACGUUGUUCGAUCCGCGGUUGGCCAUAGCAGCUAUGAAUAACUAACAUACAAACACUCGCGCAUUAUCUAGUAGCCUAUUAUGGUAUCAUUGUGUUGCUUUGAGUAGUUUUACAUACCAAGCAAGUUUUUUUAUGGUUCAAAUGUGUCAUUGAUUUAGUCAAAGAAACAUCUGUUUGUUUGUUUUGUUUUUGUUUUAGUGGGGUGGGGAAAUUUCCAACUGGGUUUUCCCGGAAAUGCGGAUCCCGAGCCGGGGAGAUGCCGUCGGACGGACGGAAAGAAAUGGCGGUGCUCGAGGGACGCAGUCGCAGACCAAAAGUAUUGUGAGCGCCACAUGAACCGGGGCCGCCACCGUUCAAGAAAGCAUGUGGAAGGCCGCUCUGGCCACGCCGCCGCAAGACCAUCCCCAACUUCUUCACAAGCUGCUUCCUCAGCUGUCCUCUCUACUGCAGAGCAGCAGGCAAAGAGUUUGGGGCCGAGUACUACUGCUGAUCCUUGCCCUGCUCCGUUUAACAGGUAUUGCUUUUGAUCUUCUACAUCCUUUUAUAUUCAAGUUGUAACUUUGGAUCUUUGGUUGCGCGACUCUUCUUUUUUGUUGAAUCGACUACAAAGGUUAUUGGUUUUUUUUUUCGAAUGCGUGAGUAAUUGAAAUAACUCAAGUAGUAAUAUUAGAGGUUCGGUUACUACUAUCAAUUGUCAAAGUCGGAACAGAUAUUUAGUAAUGCACCAAGUAGAGCGUCACACUAUGUUAGUCUGAAAAGGUUCAGUCAAUAUUUACUUGUUCGUCAUCAUAAAUCACUUGACUAAGCCCUUCGUGCAUGUACUCUAUUAUUCCAACUGAGCUAAUUUGUGUGAUUUUAGACAUUGUCAGAGGUAAUAAAAGUGCUUUAUAAAGUCGCUAGGAGUUUAGAAAGUGGAGUACCCUAUGAUCAUAACAAGAUUUGCACGAGUUUACUAAAUUUGACUCAUCAUAGAUAUGCGAGAUUUGGUAAUCGUUGAACAUGUACUACCAUUACAAAUAGUUACAGCAGUAUAUCAUCCUAAACUUUAAGAAGGAAUCUAUGUGCGGAUGGAUACUUAUUGCCGUAGAGAAGUGGAUUAUCGUUCCACCUACACAUUCACAUGGUAUUUCAUCAAGUCGCAAAGAAUAGUAGAUUGUUAAUGAAGUUGCACCACUUGCUAUAAUAUUUAUGUAAAUUUUACUAUUCCUGAGUAUAUCGAGUUUCGUUGUUGUCCUCAAACUUUUAGAGCCUGUUUGAAUGCAUUAACAUCUUCGGUUUUUUUGGAUUAUUCUGAAACCGUCGUUAUGAAAAAUUAUGGCUAUAAGGGUGUCUGAAAUAGACUACGUCGAACUCGUCAGUUGCAGCUGCAAAAUAAAAUCUCCAUAAAGCACAAGUUUAUCACUUGAUAACUUCAAAAUCCAAAAUGGCUCGUAAGUCGGACAUUCGACGCCCCAAACCUUGGAAGUCCUUCUGUUAAAAGCAAAAAAUUUGUUGCCUGCUUCUAGUGCAUAUGUACAUCCAUGUGCGAUGAAUUUACCGACCCUUAGUCGUUCUCGUACUUUCGAUCCAUUCAUCUAAUUUCCGAGUAUAUAAAAGGCUGAGACUCAAUGGUUUGUAACAAAUUCAAUGCCAUUGUGUAAUCCUUUUAUGUUGUGAAAGUCCCACUUAUAAUUUUGUAAGUUUCUAUAUUUUCGAUACAAACAACACUAUUUAUUGGUUAACGGAAAACAUUACGUAUAUCUCUCUUUCGAUGUUAUGUUGAUGAACUAUGUUUUUGCAGGAUGUUGAUGGGCAAAGAAAAAGUAAAUGAUUAUGCUGCGGACUCCCAAAGGCUCUCUAUGCUUACUUCUAUGAGCCAAAAGCCCAUAGACUCUUCCUUUCCCAUCUCGAAGCAACACAAUCCCUUUGAGGAAGCCGCAUUCUCAGAUAACAUCAACUUCCUUCCUGCGCCCAAACUCAAUGAAAAUUCGCAAACUCACCCUCUUCGCCAUUUCUUUGAUGAUUGGCCCAAAAACCACUCUGAUAGUUCUUCUCUCACCUGGCACGAGGUUGAAGAAAUGCAAUGCGAAAGAACCCAACUUUCUAUAUCUAUCCCUAUGACCUCCUCCGACUUCUCGUCCUCGUCUUCUCCUACUCAUGAGAAGCUUACUCUUUCACCCCCUAGACUAUCUCGCGAGAGUGAGUUUAGUCAAAAGCAAGUAAAUUGGGUACCGAUUUCUUGGGAGUCUUCGAUAGGUGGACCUUUAGGAGAGGUGUUGAACAACACCAAUAGCACAAUACCAAAGGAUCAAAGCAAGAACUUGUCAUCAUCUUCGCUGAAUCUUUCGAUGGACGGGUGGGACUUAGAGUCGUCGCCAUCGGGAGUUCUUCAGAAGGCUAACUUCGGUUCGGUGUCUAGCAGCACCGGCAGUAGCCCGAGGCCGGAGAAUCCGAAGGCUUAUGAGUCUCAUAAGAGCAGCGGAAGCCUGUGCAACGAGAUACUCGGGUCAGGCCUUGCGAAUUCCCUGACUAUGCCUUCAUUUUAAGCUUCUAAAAGAGUUAUCUUCCAGUAGAAAAUAGUGAAAAGUGUUAUGUAUCAUGGUUUGUGGAGAGUGACUUUAGUUUUGCUUGCUAGUAAAAUUAUGGAGCAUUUAGUUUCAGAAACUUGAAUUUUUAUGUUUAUUUCCUUGGUUUUGUACUUUGUUCUUGGAUUAUCUCUUUGAAGAAGGAUUGAAAGCCUCCUUAUAUGUAUUCUGUCAAAAAAAUGGCAAAAAGAGAAAAAAAAAGGACUUAUGUACUUGAUCUACAGCUAUGUAUAACAGGUUGGGUUUUAAUUGAUCUGAUUGGUGAUGUCUAAUUAAAAAUAUUGCUUUAAAUGUUUUUUUCUCUUUGCAUUAUCAUGUGAAAUUUUUUUUAAAAAAAACUUUCUUCUUACUGCAGUUUGAUAUCUGAAAUUUCCAUUCUCACAAUUUGGUUUCUUUUGCACUACGGCACCGCCUUCUCGAAAUGAAUAGUACAUUUUCCUUAGCUACUCCAGAGCUUCUGUAGAUGUGCAGAAGCUCAUAAUCAGAACUUCUAUCUUUUAAGACUCAGAAGCUUAUUUAUUUAUUUUUCCAAGUUUUUGCUUUGCAGAAUAAAGAAGUAGCCAUGCAUGGAAAAGCAGCAUUUAGUUAUACUAGCUGUUACAUCUCUACAUGGAAAAUAAGAAAAUGAUUCCAUGGAUUGAUUGAACUGUCACAGGACCAUGAAAUAGGAUCAGUGAGCAUGCAAAGGGAAGAGUGAUAGCUGUCCAUCCUUUUCCCCUCAAUAAGCUUUCAAUGUGCAGGAUAUAUAUAUAUAUAUAUAUAUAGCUAGGUAUUAUUCUCCUAUACUGUGGGUUUAAGAAAACAAAUUAUUGGUCUUCGUGCAGGAUCUUUUUUCGAGCAUGCAGUACGUGUAGAUACGUACACUAGAGUCUAGACUGAAAAAAUAAUCGAUAUACAGACAAAAUUUAUUUACGAUAAAAUAUUUAUAUAUAGAGUAANAUAUAUAUAUAUAUAUAUAUAGCUUUUUAUGAUCAGCAUGCAUGGUUUGCCACCAUGCAAAAACAUUCUGUGAUGAUUGCCCCUGUAGAAGAUACUUGAGUGGUGAACUGUUGCUUGUUGUUUAUCUAUAUGGAUGUUACUGCUGUGAUAGUAACUUCCUCCUGUUGGAGAGGGAGAGGACACACACACACACACACACACAAAAAAAAAAAAAAAAAAAAAAAAAAGUUGUUGCUAGCCAGGGCAGCUGAUUGACAUUCUGUUGUGACGAGCACACAAAUAGAAACGAAAAUGACGAAAGUGAAGCAGACGAGCCACGAACAGAAAAAUAAAUAAUAUAUAAAUUUAUGUGAAAAUUUUUUUGUAGAAAAAAACAACAGGCGAAAAAGGAGAGGCUAUGGAAAAAAGAAGUACAAUGUUCUGAGUACAAUGAUCAAUUUUUCGCCUUUAGGGCAAAAUGAAGAAAAAAAACUCUUAACGAGCCCAAGCCCUCAGCUACCUACCACAGAUAUUCAUUUUUUCUUCACAAUUUAUUUUUCAAAUUGGUCGCACUGCAGAACUGUCGACGAGUCGGAGUCCUAAAACUGAAGUUCAUUACUCAUUUCGAGGCACAUUUAACACAUUAAAAAAAAAAAAAAAACCAGGGUAUAUAGGUGCGUGGUUUUCUGUAAAAGAAAAAGUGCUAAUACUUAAAUAGAAAAAGUGCUAAUACUUACAUUGGUACCUCCCAUGACGGUUUUCAAAGCUGUAUCACUCAAAAAAGAAAAAAAAAAUUAAUAUAAGAACCUUUUUUUAGACGAUACAUAGGGGAGCAUCCCUAUAAUAUAACAAGUAUCAUCGCUUCAAAAAACGCCAUCAAAUUAAUUUAUUUAAUAUUAAAUUUUACUAUUAUUUUUAAUUUUUUAAUACUUUAAAGCAUCAAAAUUUUAAAAAAUUCUGACGUUUUAAAGCGUCAGAAUAUAUUUUACCUACGCUAGGCAUAAGCAUCGGUAUAUAUGUAGCAACUCUUCAUUUAACGAUAUUUUAACCGACUUUCAAAUGUAACGCUAUACUAUAUUGGGAUGCUUUUAAGCAUCGUUUAAUAUAAAAAAAAAACAUCUUUAAAAUAUUUUUUUUUUUUAGUGUAUUACGACACCAGGCCUAUUGCAUUAUAUUUAUUCCAAACUAGUUAAUUAAGGCCAAUCACAUCCUAUUGAAUAUGAAAUUAUUAUUUUUUAUAUUUUUUUUUCUUCAACCAUCAAACAACUUCUUUUUUUUUUUUCUCUAUUUGGUUCAAGAUACUAGACCUACUAAUGUUCUCGCAAAUGCUAGCUAACUUUGGGCCCCCAUUGGGCCUGAGAUCUUUCGGCCCCAAAUCUACGGUUAUUUUUUUUUUUUUUUUUUUUUUUUUUUUUUUUUAAGUUAUUUUACUUACUAAGAGGUUACAAACAUGCAUGUUUAUUUAAACAAUGUAGAGAUAUCAUGAAUAUUAUUAUAUAAAGCUAAUUUACACAGUACAUGAAAUUCAAAAAUGGGCCCUAGCCUCUUCAAAAAAAAAAAAGUUCAUUAAUUGAACUCGACUUCUCGUGUAAUGGGUCCCAUAAUCAGCAUCUUUUAGUCUGUAAAAUCUUUGAUGCCCUGUUUGAAAGCAUGAAUAUUUUAUCCGGUAUAUCUCCAUAAUUUACUGGAGAAGCUUACACGAGUUAGUCAAUGAGAAGUGUGAUUAAAUAUCUAGAAUUGAAUAUUGAUAUUCGACCUUCAAAUUAUUUUUUCAGAUGAGAUAAAUCACUUUGUAGGUGAAUAUGUUGUCCUAUCUAAUUAUGAAUAUCAAAACUUUUCAAAGAGCAGAAAUCAAGCUUCUUUCUGACAAUCACAUUAGAAAAUUCUUAUACUGAAUAAAUUAUUUUUGAAUAACUUAUUCCGACUUUCAAAUAAUAAGGCGUAAGUGCCAACCAUUUAAGAUCAGGAUGCAUACCAAAUAACGUGCAUCGGAUCUCAUCUCAUUAGGGACUACUAUCCGAAGCAUCUGAUCCUCUAUCAUAAUAGAAUGCUAAACUCUUUUUUCUUUUGAUUUGAACUUUUCUCGAUUUAUUAUCUUUCAAACACAAUUCAUAUACGGUGAUUCCUCUUGCUUGUAGAUCUCUCUAUGCAACAUGAUCAAUUGAACAUCUUUAUGUUUUCCAAACACCCAUGAAAGAGCUCAUGAGAUUGAUUGAUUUUUGACAGCAUGUGGCCCUAAAUCCUCUACCAGGUGCACCACCCAUAUAUACAUGUAUAACCUCUUGCACAAUAAUUAAAUACCAAAAAGGAUGGCAUAGCAAACCCCCUCAACAAAUUUGAGGCCAAAUCCACUUGAAUCAUGAGUCAAUUUUUCUGCGAAAAAUUUAUCGUUCUCGAAAGGCCAAGAACACUUGCACUAGAUUUUGAUAUGUUUGCCGCAUCGCGAAUUCGACGAUCAGUUGUCGCCAACUAGAAGGUAUCGAUCGAGAAGACCAUACAAAAGAAGCUUUCACUCUUCCCUCAACAAACAAACAAACAAAACCAAAUCAAUACAAAAAGUCACUCUUUGGUGGCUACUUACAUACAUACCUGGCUAAGAUUUGAGGAACCAAGAUAUAUAUACAUGCAUUUAAAGCCACAACACACAUUUCAACUUGUUCAAUUAAAUGAAGGACCAUUGAUAUAUAUGAUGCAAUUUAAGAGCUAGUAUACUACUCUCCACAAAUUUUCAAAGCAUCAUUGGCUACCAUUUUUCCAUGUAUCUCACUCUAGAUUUUAUUGCCUUUUAAUUUCAACCAAAAAAAAGAAGAAAAAAACUAGAUCCAUGGAUUUUAAAACAUGUAUUGAUGUAUUGAUAAUAUCAUAGUAGUGGCAAUUUAAAGGGCCAAGAUAUAUAGAGAAAGAGGGGUUUAAAACAUGUAGUUCCCUUGUAUUAUGCAUUAGAACACUUUCCCGCGUAAAAUGAGAAGAAAUUAGAUGAAACUACAUGUGUUUAAAGAUUUCGAUACAAGGCCCUCCUAAUUUAAUUAUAUAUACAAUGUUGUAUGAUCCUUUAUUUAAUUUCCCGUCUACAAGAUAAUCAUAUAUUAGAUAUAUAUAUGUUAUAUUUAAUUACCAUGUUGCACCUUAUAUAUAUAUAUAUAUAUAUGUGUGUGUCAUCUUUGUAACUGGCUUAUUAUGCUUAACAACAUGGAUAUAUAUAUAUAGUAGAGCUACUAUGCUAUCGGAAGUAUAAAGUAGUUGAUGCUUCCGAUUUUUUAAUCCUAAGAUGCAAUGAGAACGUACGAUGGUGUUUUAAUGAGUAUAAUUUUUCAUUAAUCAGUAUGCACAAAUUGGGAGUCAAUUUUAGACAAUGUAGAAAAAUAGUAAAGUAACAACAAAUUCAAUAUAUAAUUGAAGUAUACUAUAUACUAACCAUCCAAGAUUGCGAAUCUAGCUAAGAAGUUGCAUUGUUACUUAAUUUACCUUUGUUGCCUCCGCAUUUGAUUAACUAGCUAAAAGUUAAUAUAUAUUAUAUUAUAUUUUGUGUGUAUGUUUGGGAGCUGGUGUACUUGUGUUAGAGUUUUAAAUAUUUUAGCCUUAUAACCAAAAUUAAUUACCAUUUCAUUACCACGUAAAUUAAUUCAAAAGCAUAUAUAUAUUUAGUGGUGAAAAGCCUCAAAUAUCAAUUCAAUGACAAAAAAAAACUAGAAAUAAAACAUUAAAUUUACAAUUAAUUAAACAACGUACUCUUAUAUAAGUGGAGAUCUGGUUGUUUAACUUCUCAACCUACACCAUCAAUUGCUGCAUGAAAAACACUUGUGCUAUAAAAAUAAUUUACACACAAUAAAAUCUAACAAGUGAAAAUCUAUAAGAGCAAAAUCAAUAAAAAUUAUACAACUUGAUUUGCUAAAAUGAAAACGAUGUAGUGUUCAAUCGACCAACCCGAACCACAUGGCGCAAUCAAGGUAAUUCAUAUAAUCAAUCAAUUAGCAAUUACACAAGCAACUAGUAAUUAAUUACUUAGCUUUUCUUUAAUUUAUACUGUUAGUGUUAUCUAAAAGAUCGAUAUGAUAUAAAUGGGUUGAAGAAUAAUCUUAACACUUUCGUUGGACAUGCGCAGCAAUACUGAAUUAUAACUUCAUGCAUGAAAUUGAUCGAAGGGCCGAAAACUGACUUUAACACCAUGUUAUUCAAAAAAAAAAAAAAAAAAAAAAACUAAUCUAAUAAUAAAUAUAAUUCAUAGUAAAAGAAAAUUAAAGGCUAGGACAUAUAUAUCUUCUCUACAGUGUAUAUAUUUUGGGUUGGUGAACAUGCAACGUAUGCAUUGUCAUUAUAUAUAAAUAUGUUAUUAUCACUACAACAAGGUUAGCAAAGCUAAAGUUGACCAUAUGUAUUACCCUAUUAUUAUAAAUUUGUGAGGUGCACACGCAAAUGCUUGCGACUAUUAAUUAUGUUGAAGUCAGAUGCAAGUAAACAUCGAAAAAGUAAUAAUUUUGUGUGUAGUCAAUUCACCACCCUAACAAAACAAGUAUUAUCGAGUUAAUAUAUUUAUUUAGUUAGAUUUGACUAAGUAAUUAGGAGAUAACUCCUGGAGUUGACCAACCUCUAUUAAUUAUAAGAGAUAAUGAGAUGUUUAAGCCAUUGACACGUUGCCACGUACAUCACUCAUCUACAAAAAUGAGUUUAAAAAAAAAACAUAAUUAUAACUAUAUCACCAUGACAAGUUCUAGUUUUAUAAAUGUAUUAUUUUGUAAGUCGCUUAAUUAAAUUGUAGUGUUCUUUCGAAUCUAAUGUUUCGAUAUCACAUGGUGUCAGAGCAAUUUCUAAGUAUCAGCUCUUUUGGUUAUUAUGGAUUUUCUCCUAAGUUUUGGAGAGUUUCGAGUUUCAUUUUCACAUCUAUCAUUUCCCAACAUAUGUUCCAUUCUGUUAUCUCUUUUUCACAUCUAUAAUGUUUUUUUUCUUUUUUUUUUGAGAGAUAGAUAGUACGCUAUUCGCUUCAUUUAUUUCAUUUAGAAAUAAACUUAGCUGAAAAUGUGAAUCAACUAGGAUUCAAACUUGGGUCUCGGGUACCAACCACCAAGCCCUUUGCCACUUGCUCUAGGGACGGUCAGUCACAUCUACAAUGUAAUAUCGAAUAUUUAUGCGAUAGGUCAGUGCAUGUAUAGUAGUAUGGUGAACCUAAUAUCUGCCACUUCUGUCUACAAUUUUUUUAUUUUGAGAAAUAGGUAGCAUGCUACCCGCUUCUGCCUAUAAUUUUUAAUCGUGAAUAAUGGGUCAUUUAGUUGUGAGAUUAUGAUCUGGGUAUGUUUUAAUCUGCUUAAAUUAAUUUACCUUUUUAUUAGCUUAAUGCUGUUCGGAAUCCGGUACUCGCCCGGUACCGGAUCUCGUGAAUCCGCAACCCGCUCCGAUACCGACUGCUGUGGAUCCGGUAUCGAUUGUUGGGAUUCCGCAACGGAAACGUCAAAUCGAGUUUUUACCAUAAACCCGUCUCCUCAGCAAAAACUUUUUCUCGUCUUCUAUAAACCCAUAAAGAAGACAAUCCUUCACAUGCACCCAUGCACUAGGUGCACUCAAAGCAUAAUUAAAUAACUAUCUCUUUCUUUUUCUCUCUCUGGUACGGCAACCCAAGAGACUCUCUCUCUCUCUUCCGUACUCCACCAAAAAAAAUACUCUAAUGCAUUAUAUAUAAUGCUCCAACUAAAAUGUACCCAAUUCUAGUAUAUUUAGGAUUUCUACUCCAAUUAAUAUCUAAAUCUAUCUUAAUUAAUCUCUAGUAGAUUUAAAUANAUUUCUACUCCAAUUAAUAUCUAAAUCUAUCUUAAUUAAUCUCUAGUAGAUUUAAAUAUUAAUCCUAAUCUAGUUAGGUUUAUCCUCUAAUUAAUAUUUAAAUCUUAAUUUAUCUCCAACAGAUUUAAAUAUUAAUUAUUAUCCAAACAGGAUUCAAUUACAAAUCUAACCAAAUCUUAACAAUCUCUACCUUGGUUGGAUUUGUAAUUUUCAACCGUCACGUCGAGCUCACCAUGCAAGCUCCACCUUGAGCUUGUCUCCUCCGCUCGAUGUCGCCGUAUCCGCCGCUCCGCCUCGAGCGACUGCACUUCCGCGAACUUUUGGAACCCAAACCGUCUUUGCUUUCGUUCUGACUGUGCUCCCGUUCAGAACGUACAAGUUCCCACGCUUGUUCGCCUCGCACACGACCCGAUCUCGUUUUCGGACCCUCAUAGCUCCACCUGAAGCCGAAAUAUCGCAACCUUUUGAAUCCAAUGCGCCUAACGAGAUCAAAUUCCGCUUCAAUCCAGGAACAUGCCGCACACCUGUCAGCGUCCUCACGACCCCAUCGUGCAUUCGGAUUUUCACCGUGCCGACUCCCAAAACUUUGCACGUCGUCCCGUUCCCCAUUAGAGCUUUUCCACCUUUGAUCGCCUUAUAGGUUGCAAAAGACUCUUUCUCCGGGCAUACGUGAAAAGAACACGCCGAAUCGAGCACCCACGCAUCAUCCGAAAUUUUCGCACCUCCGGUCGCCGCAUAUAGCACAUCAGAAUCGAACAUCUCCGACUCUGCCGUCUGUGUCGUCGCUGAUACCAUCUCGUCCUGGUUCACGACAAUUUUCUCCUUCUGUCGCUUUAACUCCUUGAGAUUAUCCUGAAGUUUUCGACAGUUGCGCUUUAUAUGCCCUUUCCUGUGAUAGUAAAAGCACUCCACCUCGGAUAGCGGCUUCUUCUGUCGAUCUCCGGUCGCCGAUAUUCUCGCCUCCUUCUUCGCAGUCACCACCAGUCCUACAUCCUGACUUUGCGUGCCGGCCUCCCAAGUCAUCUUCCGCAUCUCGUUCGAGAGAAGCACCGCCGUAACCGUCUCUACGCUUAUGGUCUUAUAACGACCCAGCCCACUAGCAACAAUAACUCGUUGGGCCCCAACCACCGGCCCAAAAUGCUUAAGCCCAGUUAUUAUUACUAGUGUCUAAGUCUCUUAUAAACCCAAUGACAACCCCAUUCCCAUCCGAUAGACUAGGGUUCACAGACUCCUCCAGUUAAGUGCCCGACGUCGCAUCGUCAGUCCACACACACAGCCCAGAUCACUCAGGCCGUAUGUAGCUCGCUCGCUAGCGCCUCGCAUCCAGACCCUAGCUCAGCCGAGACUUUGCCACACAUGUCCAGCUGGUAACCGCUCUGAUACUCGAAAAUAUCUACGACCCAGCCACACUAGCACAAUAACGAUCGUUGGACCCAACCACACGGCCAAAAUGCUUAAGCCCCAGUUAUUAUACUAGUGUCUAAGUCUCUUAUAAAACCCAAUUGACAACUCCCUUCAUCCGAUGUGGGACUAUGCGGUGUCACAGUCUCUUGCCAUAAAGUAACGUGGUCCCACAGAGGCCUAUGUCGCCGGUAGCGAAAAGAAUAGUUAAAAUCAACGCUCUUAAUCUUCGUCAUCCAGAUUGACUCCGAUGCUAUCACUGGGCCACACACCUUGUAAAACUCUUCAGGAUGCUCAUGUACGCUUGCCGCUUUUUUGCAUCCGUGAGCAUAAACAGUCCGUUGCCUCAGAUACAAUGUUCGUCAAGGAUUUGGUCAUAUACAAUAUCUUUCACCUUCUUCCUAUAAUUUCGCCGGUGUCCUUCUCGUCUGGUACCGUGUAAAGAACCUCAUCCGCUAAAUAAGUAGUGAAAUGCGUACUCAAGCGCCUUCCGCUCCACCUUCGUCCAAUGCCGCAUUCCAUGACCUCCGCCGCUCCGCCUCUUCCCGUUCAAACGCUCUGCUAAUCCUGCUUACGGAUCGCUCGUGACUUUAAUUUGCACAAUCCGAAAUUGUUCUUACCUGUCGAACUUCUCGAUCGAAUUCGUGCCCAUCUCGUUCGAUCUCUCCCUCAGAUCGGAUUAACCUUCGCUCUGAUAACCACUUUUGGGAAUCCGUACUCGCCCCGGUACCGAUCUCGUGAAUCCCAACCCGCUCCGAUACCGACUUGCGUGCGAAUCCGGUACUGAUUGUUGGAAUCCGCAAUCGGAAACGCAAAAACGAGUUUAUACUCGAAACAGCCGUUUCCUCAGGUGCAAAAAGCUUUUCUCGUCUCUAUAAACCCAUAAAGAAAACAAUCCUUCACCAUGCACCCUUGCACUAGUCACUCAAAGCAUAAUAAAUAACUAAUCUCCUUUCUUUUCUGCUUCUCUGGUACGGCAAACCCAAGAAGACUCUCUCUCUCUCUCCGUACACCACCAAAAAAAAAAAAAAAAGACUCUAAUGCAUUAUAUAUAAUCUCCAACUAAAAUGUACCCAAUUCUAGUAUAUUUAGGAUUUCUACUCCAAUUAAUAUCUAAAUAUAUCUUAAUUAAUCUCUAGUAGAUUUAAAUAUUAAUCCUAAUCUAGUUAGGUUUAUCCUCUAAUUAAUAUUUAAAUCUUAAUUUAUCUCCAACAGAUUUAAAUAUUAAUUAUUAUCCAAAUAGGAUUCAAUUACAAAUCUAACCAAAUCUUAACAAAUGCAACAUUAGGUUUUGGGCAAACAUUGGAUCCAAAUGGUAGCUUAAACGAUACAAAACUAAUAUUACUUAUGUGAUAAUGCAUGCAUUAGGUAGUAUUAUCCGAUACCUUUUUAUUAGCUUAAUGCAGCAUUAGGUUUGAUUCUAUUGUGAUGAAUUAUUUUCACCAAUACAUAACUAAUAUUACUUAUGUGAUAAUGCAUGCAUUAUCAUAUAUAUAGUGUUACUGGAUUAAUGUAUUACUGGUUUUAUGAGGAUAGGUAAUAUUAAUUGUUCGCGCAAAGAAAUAUAUGAUAUAAUGGUCAUGUAUAAUACUUCUACAAGCAUAAAUUCUUAAUACUCUCAUAUUGUUUUUAACGAUGAAACAUCUAAAUUAACAAUCGAUAUCGAUCGUUAGAUACUAUUGACGACAUGUAAACUUAAAUCAAAUUUUAUGAUUUUUCGAUAUUAUUUAUCUAUUAAUUAAAUGAUAUCAAAUAUACCUUAUAUAUCUCUUUGAAAAUUAUAAAUUUAUGACACUAAUUGCACAAUAUAUAUAAUAUAAAAACUCAUAAAACUUAGUUCUUUAAUUAAAAGUUUAUUUGUCAUAAAUUAUAUUUAGUAGCGUUGAUCGUCGAUUUAGAAGACCCGUUGUUAAAAUUGAUGUGGAAACUUAAAAACUCAAUACUUCUAAAAAGUAUUCUAGCUACCUCAGGUAAUUAGGAUCGUUGCAAUAAAAGAUAAUACUACCUAUACACUCCAAAAAAGAAUAUAAAUCUUACACUCCUUCCUCGUGGAAAAAUUAAUAUCCUUAUUUUAUAAAAUGGAGGCUCGCAUUGCUAUAUAGCUAUAACCAUUUUCUACCAGGGGUAUAAACAUAAACAUAUAUAUAGAGAGAGUUGAGCUGGAAUACUAUUCGUGGCAAACAGGUUCCGUUGUCAUCCAUUUGUUUUUGAUGAUAGAUCCUCCAAAUCGACGAUCGGCGUUGUUGAAUAUGAUCUAUAACAUUUGAAAUAUCUAGAAACCAAAAUUUAAUUUUUUCCGACAUUAUUGACCUAAUGAUCAAAGAGUUUCAAAAUUAAAUUUAUAAUUUUAAUAGUCGAUAGAAAACGUUUUCUGAUUUAACGGCAUAAAAUAUCCAAAUCAAUUGAAUUUUGGUUAGAGAAUUUUUUAAACUAUUUAGAAUAAGAUCUAUACUCUCGAUUUUGAUUACAAGACUCCUAUCAUCACACAUUUUAAAGAAUAUUUAUUUUCAGUCGUUUAUUUUUAUGUUCACUUGAUGGACAAAAAGAACAAUAUCGAAAGAAUAUGAAAUUUGGUUUCUAAAUGUUUCAAGUGAUAUAAAUUAUAUUCAACGGUGCUGAUCGUCGAUUUAGAGGCUCCAUCAUCAAAAAUAAAUAGGUGGUAACAAAGUCAGUUUCCGAUAGUUUUUUUUUUUGA